UUUUUUUUUUUUUUGCGGGAAACGACAUAGGCCAUCUAAAUGGGAUGCAAUCGAGUGAAGGUGAAAACUCCGGAGUUCACUCGAGAACAAAGAGACUGCUGAGAACAAGAAAUGGAGGCCGGUGUACGGAGUAUGGUUUGGUUACAGACCGAUAAGAUGUCUCUUCAGACAUGGUCUGCUACCAUCACCAAGACUUUGCAACGGAAGAUAUAACAGAGAAAAUGACAUAAGUGGCUACAGGAAAUGAGAAGGGCCGUGUGAAAGCAAAAAAAAUUGGGGAGAUUCAGCCUCCGCGAAACCUGACCGCCAUUCCCCUUUGUUGCAUUGGACAUAUUCUUCUGGGAAGAUGAGAACCAAGUGCCGUGACCAUGGUUGCUAUCCCCUACAGCCUGAGCAUGCAGAGCUUAAUUAUUACUUUACAAUACAAAAAAAUAGCAGGGCGCAGAAAGUAGGCGAAAGACGAAGCAAGCUGUACCUCCACAGAUCGGUCUCCACCAUCCUCCAGGCAUUUUAAAUCCGGUUGCGGUCGAAGUUCUGCUCGUCUGAAUACAGAUUUCAUGCCAUUGACAUGCGCAAUGCCAUGUCCCAUGUACGUACGUACCAGACUGGAAUUCAGUAUGGUUUGCAUAAUCAAAGUGUACUUCUUUUAAUCUAUAUAUCUGGAUGGAUGAGAACAAAAGGUUUGUGUUUGGAUUCCUAGUCAUACACCACCACUUUACCCUUGUUACUCAUGAUCAAAGUGCAAGCGCAUUCACAAAAAAUGGUCUCUAACCAAACAGCUGUGAAAACAUGGCUCACACAAAAUUUGAAUUGCCAAUGGUGGCCUGUCCCACAUGCCAUAGAUGUAAGAGGGGAUCAUUACUUCACAAAAAGUUUGGUCACCCACCUGUUCUGGCAAAAAGUAGGCAACAAUCCUGCAAAAAUAAACAAAUCCACAGGCCAUGUCAAACGCUGGCAGUUAGAACCAAUCCCAAAUGGUGGUCAAAUUGCUUUGAGUAUCACGAAAACUGGCAUGGUCUGCUGGGAUUUGCAAAUAAAGAAUGGUAUAAGUUGAUAUGCAUACUCAUGUUGAACACAAGGAAACAAAAAAAUAGGAUUUCUUUACUUACCAGGCCAAUAAAUGACGAGUCCAUAACAGAGCCAAAAAACAGAUAUGCACCAGGAUGAACAAGAUCAUAUACUACAUUGGGUGCUGCACUCGCCUAAAGAAAAGGAUGACAAGUGGGGUUCAGUCCAAAUGCAACAAUGGAUUAUUAUUAAUUUUUUGAAAAAUUGUGGUGUUCUUCCAUUUAGAUAGUCAAUGGCUCAGUAUAGGCUUGAAGGUUUAGAUGCCCAAAGCUGGUAAAAACACAAACACGUAUGUUUAGCUUCCUUGUUGUGUUUUCUAUCAACUAAACAGUCAGUGUAAGAUCCACGCUCCAUAUGACUCAUGUUGCUCUUACAAAAACAAGUAGAGGAAACUGUAUGACGGCUCAUGUAUACUCUUACCUGCAAACAGGCAAGAACCACUACCUAUAAGCUUCUACCUUUGUAUAGCUGAUAUUGGGGCUUCAGACAACACAUACUCAUGAACUCCAGAGCCUACUUGCAGGUCACAUUGUUGUGGAUGGCAUUGCCAGUCUGCUAUAUCCACUGUCAGUUUGUUCUGCUCUACAUCACCAGAAAUCACCACAAGAGCAGGCACCAGAUUUGAAGUGGUGGAACCUGCUGCAGUCUCGCAUGAUGAUCUCCCUGUCCUCAACCGCCGACACCAUCUUCAUCACCACAUGGCAGUCCCCACAGACCCGCAGGUUUUUGACAAUCUGAAGGGGCGUCCCUGGUGGCGUAGCUAUCAGACCGAAGGCAAGAGCCAGCCGCUCACUGUGCGUGACCAGCAUGGCUUCCUUCUGCUCUUGUUCCAUGUCAUGGAGCACAAAGCUCGUGUUCGGGCAGUAACCCUCCUGCUUCAACCUGGCUGUCAUCGCCUUCAGCUUUGUGUAUAUCUGGUCGGACAGACGGUGCGAUUUAUCGGAGGCUAUAAAGGAAUGGACCUUGUUCUUGAUCUGAAUCCAGCUGGAUCCAGCUUCCUUCUUCACCUUUUUAGAAUCCAUGAGCUUCCUCACUUCAUCCCUCUCUUUCCACUUCCCUGCGGACGCAUAGAUGUUGGAGAGCAGCACGUAUGUAGCCGAAUCGAGCGGCUCAAGCGAUAGCAGCUUCUCUGCGGCCAGCUUCCCAAGCUCAACAUUCUUGUGAACUCUGCAUGCGCCUAGCAGUGUGCGCCAUACCAUUGCACCCGCUGGGAACGGCAUGCCUCCGAUAAGGUCCAUUGUUUCAUCCAACUUGCCUGCGCGGCUGUAGAGAUCCACCAUGCACGCAUAAUGCUCCAUGGUGGGACUGAUCUUGUGGUCUCUAACCAUGGAAUCGAAGUAUCGCUGGCCUUCUUGUACAAGUCCAGCAUGAGUGCAUCCUAUGAUAACCGCAAGGAAUGUGACACCAUCCAUCUCGACGCCCGCAGCUUCCAUCUGACGGAAUGUAUCAAGGGCCUCCUUGCUGUAACCGUGCUGCGCAUACCCUGAUAUCAUCGAGUUCCAUGACACCAAGUCUCUCUCUGUCUGCCUCUCAAAGACACUUCGAGCACUGUCAAUGCUCCCUUUUCUUGCAUACAUGCUGACAAGUGCGCUGCCCACGCAGAUAGCGUCCUGGUAUCUGUAUUUGAUCGAAACAGCGUGGAACUGCCUACCCUGGUCAACGCCAGCGGUGGGACUAGCACAUGCAUCGAUGACACUAGAGAUAGUGAACUCAUUUGGCUUCAUGCCUUGCAUGGACAUCUCCAUGAACACAUUUGUGGCACCAUCGCAGUCGCCAGCUUGGGAAUAGCACGACAACAUUGCAGACCAUGCAACAACGUCCUUCUGGUCAAUGGUUUCAAAUAUAGAGAGGGCUUCUUCAGUGCUUCCAAGCUUUGAGUAUGAGGCAAGAAGUGCAGUUCCGACAGAUGGUGCAUGCUGGUAGUUGGUUUUGAUGAUCUGCGCAUGAAUCUGGGGAGGCAAGACUGGCAGUGAUGUUGUGAGCAUCGUCGAGUAGGUGAACUCAUUUGGCUUGACAUUGUCUUCUCUCAUUCUGCUAAAGAGUGAGGCAGCAAGAGGAAUGUCACCGUUCUGAAUGCACCCGCCUAUCAUAGCAGUCCAUGAAACGACACUCUGCGAUCCUGACAUCAACAAGAAUAUGUUGAAAGCAUCAUCCAGUUCGCCGCACUUGCUGUAGGCAUCCAUAAUGGCUGUCAUGACAUUGCCAUCUGAACUGAACCCAUGUUUUAGCACACAGCUGUGGAGCUGCCGUGCCAGGGCCAACUGUUUGAGGUUUGCACAUAGCUUGAUCACCGUCGAGUAGGUCGACUGUGACAGCUUCGCCAUGCUUGCUCGCGAGUCAUGGAACAGCUCCAGGGCCUCCACCUCACACCCGUUCAACAGAAGGCCUGCCAUCAACGUGUUCCACGACACCAUGUCCCUGGUCUCCAUCCCACAGAACACAGCCUUGGCUUCUUCAACCAGUCCGCACUUCGCGUACAUGUUCAUCAGGGAAUUACACACGAAAACUGUCGAGCGGCAUCCGAACUUCACCGACUGAGCAUGCACGCGCCGCCCAAGGUCGAGCGCGCCCUGGCCCGCCACCGCGGAGAGGACGCUCGUGAACGUGAACGGGUUCGGCCAUAUCCCCUCGGCGCGCAUCCUGAAGAAGAGCGCCAUGGCGUCCGAGUGCGCGCCGCCCUGGGCGUAACCGGUGAGCAACGACGUCCACGUGCCGACGUUCCUCUGCGGCAUCCCCUCGAACACCAGCCUGGCAUCCUCCACGCCGCCGCACUUCGUGUACACGUCGACGAGGGCCGUGCCGACGCCGACGUCGGCCCGGUCGAGCCCGCACUUGACGCACAGGCAAUGCAGCUGCUCCCCGGCGGCCCUGCAGCAGCCCGGCAUCGCCCCGCACGCCUUGAGCGCGCAGGACAGCAUGGCGCCGUCGACGCGUUCGCCGCCGUGGCGCCGCGCGGCCGAGAAAUGGCCCAGCGCCUCCCGCCCCAUCCCGCGCCGCGCGCAUUCGACGAGGGCGUCCCGGCUGGAGCCGGAGCUUCCCCCCGCCGCGGCGUCCCGGUCGGGACUUCCGUCGAACGCCCGGCGGGCGCUCCGGGUGUUGGGGCGAUCGACGUCAUGCUCCUCCACCCGGGCCGACGAGGCGCGCGUGGCCAGCCGCUGGCGGCACGCGAAGGCCCGGGGGAGCGCCGGGAGCGCCGUCCUCAGCGCCAUGCUACCUCGCUUAGUCGCCGGAGCACAUGGCGGCGAGCCGGCGACGCGCGUGGCGGUGGGGAGUGGGAGUGGGAGUGAGGAGAGUCGGGGCUGGACCAGACCAGUCGGUUUGACUUCGGCUCCCGGCGCCUGGGUCGAUAUGGGUUGGGUGCGACCGGACCCGGGCCCGGCCCAGACCGGACGAGCCCAAACAGAAUGGCCACCACCUCCGCCUACGCAGUGGCGGCCGGCGGCGGGGAGGCGUCGCCGUGCCGGGGCGCCCUUCUCAGGCCACGGCCUCCCCCGCACCGCCUCGCGUUCCUCUCCCGGGCGCCCGCUCGUCGGGCCUCGAUCUCGCUGCCGCCGGGGCCUCGCCGGGCGGGUCUGACAGCGGCGACCGCGGAGGGGAGGGCGGGGACGGGGAUGGAGGACGAGGAGGAGGGGCCGGCGUGGGUGGAGCUGGAGCCGAUCAGCGGCGAGGAGCAGCUGGACCGGGCCCUCGCCGAGGCCCAGCAGCGCGGCGUCCCCAUCGUCGUGUUCUGGUAAAGGUUUCCUCUGAAUUUUAACUAGCUCCCGAUUAGGACAGGAUGAAAUGGGUUAUCAUGAAUCAUGCUCCAGCUAACUUGGAUUAGGCUUCAAUGCUUCACGGUCAUGUGGCCUUAUGGGGGUAGAAAUCUCGCAUCUUGGAUGAAAAGGGGCUCAUCUAGUUACCCUGUCUAGGGCUCUUGGUAGCUCUUGGUCAGCUCUGAGUGGUGAUUGGAGAGCUCACCUUCAGUUUUACCCCACAAAGCGCGUUGUCGUGUGCGAUCCUUCUAGCGGCUUGUUUCAGUACCGGCGUCUAAACUCUGCCAAAUCUUGGUGGUUGUGUGAUGUAUACUUGGAAGACUCGUUUUCCCGAAACGCAACAAUAAGCAGCUCACCCUGCACAUUCCAUUUUGCUGUUGUUGUAGCCAGUAGUUAGGUUCAGUGUUUCUUCUCCUGGUUCACAUCUUAGGCGGAUCCGCAGGUCGCUUACAUGUAUUAUGUUUACCACCUAAAUACAGUAUCAUUGCUACAAGAUGUUUCCUCAUAUAUAUACUCUUGUAGAAAAGUACUUCAAUAGUAAUGUGCAGUUUAUCACAUUUUUACAUCAGUUUUGACAGUAGGUUCCGUAAAUGGAUUGGCAGCUGUAUUUCAAGUAGUUGUCUGACAUAGUGAUAACUGUCAAAUUAUCCCACGGUGUCUUACAGUCUGGGUUGAGGAUAAAUACCAGCAUUUGCAAUAUGUAGGACGGCGAGUUGGUGCAGGAAAUGCAUAUAUCUGAAGCCUAAGCUGGAAAAGUUGGCAGCAGAAUACUAUCCGAGGUUAGAGCUUUGGUUGCCAUGUUGACAAAGUACUGCACCUCUGGAGUUGUUAUCGACAAACUGAUGAUCUCUGUCAUGAUUUGCUCUGCAGAAUCCGGUUUUACUGUGUCGACGUCAACGCUGUUCCACAGAAGCUCGUGAAUCGUGCAGGAGUAACGGUAAGUAUCCGCCAUGUAUUGAGUUGGUUCUGCGGUGCUUGUCGCUCAUUAACGAACAAUAGCAGAACCUUUUCUUGGCACUCAAGCGUGCUUUCUUGUUAGCAAACAGUCCAAACCCGUUUUCAUUUUUGUAUCUUUUGUUGGAACUUCUCGGCGUUCUUUCUUGGUCUCUGUUCCCUAUUUUGGAGGAAAUGGUUCCUCUGUGUUGCCACUGGAAACUUUGCUUUCAGUUGCCGGCUUCCUGCAACUUGUACCUACUACCCAAGCGUUUCUUUCUUAGCCGUAUGCACAUAUCCUGUAGCUUUGGUAACAACAAAGCGUACCAAGGAUGGCCCCAUCAUGCGUUUGGCUUCAUCGUUAUCUUGUCCUGCAACAAUUAAAUACAGAUUGGCCUAUAUUGGGAUCUCAAGUGGAUAUAUUUAUCUAAGCGCUAAUGCCUUCUUUUGUCCAAUCUAUGUGAUCCUUUAUGCGGGACUCGAGCAGAAGAUGCCUUCCAUACAGGUACAAGUAAAGCUUGUUUCUUUCUUUAUGGUCUCCAUCUCGGCGUUGUGUAUCCUGAGGCCGCUGUUUCUUGUCCUGUAAAGAUGUGGAGCGACUCCCGGAAGCAGGCCGAGGUGAUCGGCGGGCACGAGUCGUGGAUGGUGAUCGAGGACGUCCGGAGGAUGGUCGAGCAGGAGGAAUGAAUGAUCCAACGCGGCGAUGGUUCCCGUGACAAUACCGGCCUUUCACCGUGGGAAAAUGGAGAAAACAAGAUAAGAGGCGGAAUGGAGAAAACAAGAUCGAGAUUGAGCUAUGUAUGUCCAGUUUUGUAUAAUCAUUCAUCGCGCACGGACGCCUAGGGUUCUUGGAGAAAGGGGGCUUCUCUUGCUGGGGUCCUCUCUAGGAUUUAGAGGAUUGGAGGGGCAUGCCCUUGAUGUAUCUAUCUAUUUUGAGUUUCUGGGAUCAGAAGGUUUUCCGUUAGUCAUCAUGUAGCAAUAAAAUAUCCAGUCAAUGACCUUGCAGGGAAUUAGAAUACAUGCUGGGUGCUUUGGUGCCAAUUAUUCCGUGGUGUCCACUUUGAACUAGUUGCACAGAUGGAUAAACAGAAUAUAAUUGCAAGGCUUUUAUUUGUUAGAAAGAAAUAGAGUUACUGUUUUUUUUUCAGGAUUAGCAUACAAUUAUGUCUCCCUCUUGGCCUGAAUCAGUCAAAACACAAGAGUGUGCUUGCUAAUUAGAGAUGGGUAGGAUGAGUAUUUUAAUUUGCAAGUGGUGGAAGCAGCAGCAGGCUCCCUUGUACUACUACUGAGCUCAAUUAGUCCAGCCAUGGAUGCUUUAAUAGGAGUAUUUAGGUUAGCUGCCCAUGGAUAUAUGUUCAUACGUACUUUUCUAAAAAAAAAAAUAUUUCCAUACUAUAUUCUCUCCAACCACAAACAGUAGCUGGAUGUUUUCUUUGCCUAUAGUAUUUCUUAAUUAAUAUGAUUGCAACCUCAGCACCUUCUUGUGUCUGGCAAUUUUUUUAUUAAAUGAAAUUACCCACUACCUUUCUUUACACCCUGUAAUUCAGGAUGGAUGGCAACAGACCCCAGAAGGACUGUCUGUCUGUUGGUUUCACUUUUCUUUGACUAUANNNNNNNNNNNNNNNNNNNNNNNNNNNNNNNNNNNNNNNNNNNNNNNNNNNNNNNNNNNNNNNNNNNNNNNNNNNNNNNNNNNNNNNNNNNNNNNNNNNNNNNNNNNNNNNNNNNNNNNNNNNNNNNNNNNNNNNNNNNNNNNNNNNNNNNNNNNNNNNNNNNNNNNNNNNNNNNNNNNNNNNNNNNNNNNNNNNNNNNNNNNNNNNNNNNNNNNNNNNNNNNNNNNNNNNNNNNNNNNNNNNNNNNNNNNNNNNNNNNNNNNNNNNNNNNNNNNNNNNNNNNNNNNNNNNNNNNNNNNNNNNNNNNNNNNNNNNNNNNNNNNNNNNNNNNNNNNNNNNNNNNNNNNNNNNNNNNNNNNNNNNNNNNNNNNNNNNNNNNNNNNNNNNNNNUGGUUUAUAUUGGCGCCGUUUAUAUUUAUCAAAAUCAAUUUUUUACAUCUAUUCAUAUCAAAUCAAUUUAUGUACUAGGUUAAACAUUUAAAAAAAAUCAGAAGGCCAAUGAUUUUUCUUCAUCGGGUCCACGUGUAAGGUUUCAGAUGGACGGCGGCGCCCACCUGUCAGUCGCAGCCCCAACAGAAAGGAUAGGGACAGGCCAGGGCGCCCGAUGCGCAGUCAGCCCACGAGAUAUCCGUUUCGAGCAUGAGAUUUCUGACGAGGAGCAGUUCGUUACGAGCACGCUGUGAGAUUCGUGCGGGGUUCCCAUCGGACGGCGCACGCGGCCCGCAGAGGCGGCCAGAUGGGUCCCCUGGUCGGGAACACGCACAAAAGUCACACGUCGCCCUCGCUGCCUCAUUGACCUCCCUUCCACGCGGCAGCCGCUUUUACAAAAUUUCCACACGUCCGAGUGUGAUUUAUGUCUUUUGGUUGCAGCAUAGCAAUUUUGGAGGACAACGAUUUUUUCGUGCUACUUUUGACAAAAAAGCAACAAGAGGAGCAAAGCAGUUCUCUCUCUUUCUUCUUCUCUUUUCUCCGGUGAGUGUGAGUAAGAGUUGAUUUCAACAUUCCUGCAAUUCUCUUCCUCUGUGCCCCUAUAUGCAUAGCGAUACCCGUGGUUUUUGUUCAUGUAGUAUUCAAAAUGAUAUUCUCAAAAAAAUAAUCAAAAUGAUACUAUGAUUUUGCUUUGUUUGUAGCCAAAAAUUGUCUAGUCAAUAUUUUGGCAAGUUAACAUUCGACAAAUUGUGUCGCGCACUUAUAAGCUAAGGAAGGUUGCAGGAAUGAAUUAUGCAAAACAUGGUUCCAUAUACCUUCGGUUUUUGUGGUAUGGAUGCUUUAAACUUGGACUUAACUAAGAUCACUGAAUAAAUGUAACACUUCCAUCUCAAUAAAAUUACAUUUGGCAAUGCUUAAAUUUGCCUACAAUUGCAACCUUUACAGAGAUUGGCAAAGCAGUUUGGUAGGCAACCAAUUGAUAGCCAAUGUUUUUGGCUUUGUCAACACGUGGUAAAGUGCGAACCAAUCUGUGGUUGAAUGCUUAGGAGGACUAUGGUAUCCCAGCCAACCAAAACAAGUCCUAGACUUGACAUGGUGCUCGUAUUUUUCUAGAUUUACUCUAGGUCUUCCGGCGAUGUGCAUUCAGUGAGAGGCGACACUCCGUCGACUACGAAGGCGUCUGUGGCGACUUCGUCAAUAUCAAAAUGAUGUGUCGACUCAGUCUCUCAGAGGUGCUCAUAGGGGUAAGGUGUGUGUGCGUGCGUUUGCCGCGCAAGAUCUUUGGUUUUCCCCUGGAAUAGAUGAAAAAAGUGGAUCGCUUCUUAUAUACUCGCUCAUAAAGAUUAUUCUCUAUCUAUAGUUCAGGGCCUACUAGAAGUAGAAGUUAGCUCUAGUGCAAUCCUUACCGACAAAAAAAGAUUGUAGUCAUGUUGAUAAUAGUCGAGUGACAUUACUUCGUCGGUCGUAACUAAGGAAUCUGUUAGAAAUGUUUUGAAAUGAAUAUUGUUCUCUCUUUGAUCAAGGAUUGAUAUAUGAAAAGAAGUGGAGUUUGAAAGAGGGAACGGUUUAGUGUAUGCUCGAGUAUGUCGACUUUGAUCGUAGUGUGUUAAACAAAACACACAGUAAAGCCAGAAUUUAGCAUCAAACCAAUCAUUAUUUAAAUAAAUGAAAAAGAAAGAUACAGGUGGACAUCCAUGCAUCGCUCCUGUGCAAGCGACAUGGGCGGACGCCCCCAACCCUAGCCGCCGCCACCGAAAAUUUGCUCGUCAUUGGCCUCCCCUAUUCUGGUUCCCUCUCGCGGCGCUUUAAGGCACCUGGCGACCGUAGUGUUGUGCUUCAUGCGCUUGCCCGCUCUUUGUUGUAGCUCUCGCGACAGUCUGCCCCAUUGACCUCCCCUAUCUUGCUUCCCUCCUGCGACGCUCUGAAGCAUCCCAACGGCAACAGCACCGUGGCGUUCGUGCGCCGGUGAGCGUCCAGGUAGCGGGGGCGUGCCAUUCAUGAUCGGCUCAGCGCAGGGACAUAGGGGGUGCUCUAGGUUGCGUCCUAGUGGUAUCGUGGUCCCGUGUUGUGGUUGGUUGGUCGGGAUAGUGACUGUUGCAAGGAGCUGGUAGUGGGGUGCUUCAUGCACGCGUGCCCGCUCUAUGUCGUACCUCUCNNNNNNNNNNNNNNNNNNNNNNNNNNNNNNNNNNNNNNNNNNNNNNNNNNNNNNNNNNNNNNNNNNNNNNNNNNNNNNNNNNNNNNNNNNNNNNNNNNNNNNNNNNNNNNNNNNNNNNNNNNNNNNNNNNNNNNNNNNNNNNNNNNNNNNNNNNNNNNNNNNNNNNNNNNNNNNNNNNNNNNNNNNNNNNNNNNNNNNNNNNGUACCUCUCGUGACAGUCUGCCCCCCUGGGCUCCCCUAUUUUGGUUCCCUCUUGCAGCGCUCCGAAGCACCCAACGGUCGUAGGAGUGUGGUGUUCAUGCGCCGGUGAGCGUCCAUGUAGCACGGUCGUGCCAUUCACGCUCAGCUCGGUGCAGGUUCAUAGGGGGUGCUCUAGGUUGCGUCCUAUAAGUGUCGUGGUCCUAUGUUGUGGUUGGUUGGCGGGGAUAGUGACUGCUGCAAGGAGCUGGUAGUGGGGCACUUUCAUGUGUGCGUACCCGCUCUCUGUCGUGGCUCUCGUGAAAGUCUGCCCUUUGGCCUCCCCUGUUUUGCUUCCCUCCUGCAGCGCUCCGAAGCACCCAACGGCUGCGGUGCGGUGGCAUUCGUGCACCGGUGAGCAUCCAGGGUAGCGCGUGUAGGGUAACGCAGCAGAAAACAAAAAUAUUCCGACCUACGCACCAGCCCAGGACCACUAUGAAGACUGCAUACAGGGUUUGAUCUUUUUCGUUACCGACUCGUAGCGCAGCAGAAGUAGAGUCGAUGACGAUCGGCGGUGCAGAUCCCACAGCUAGGAUUUACAACCUCCCAACCGCGAGGAUGUAUACCCUCAUCCGCCAUACAGACAGCCCUCCGGGAGGCGAUCGAACAGUCCCCCGGACGGUGUCGCGGACAGCCCUUCGGGAGGACCUUCGAAACUCGAACGGUCACUCGGACAGCCCUCCGGGAGGACCCACAGAACUCGGACCGUCACUUGGACAGCCCUUCGGGAGGCACUCUCGAACAGCCCCUCAGGGCACUAAGAUCGAAACUACGACCUCUCUACAGAGUUGCACACAUACGGUGUCAGCUAUCCGGCAGGGCUUCGCCGUCCAGAACUAGUUCCUGCCGGAACCCAGACAGCCUUUCGGCUCUAUGAAACUAUUUCGCUGGGAGGGAGAGAAGAAGCCAGAUCAUUGCAAUGGCAUUUAUGUGAGAAAGAGUGAGUGUGGAGGGCUGCCCCUCCACCUCUAUUUAUAGGAAAUCCCAAGGGGUAGGGUAGUUUCACACAAAAAACCAAAAUGCACAUGAAUGAAGUCCUUCCACAAGGACCUAGGAGUGAAACCAAUGAACAAGAGGGUCCCCAAGGGGGGAUACCCCAUGUGGCCGGCCACACCCCCAUGAGGGGCCCAAAAAUGGCUCCUAUCCAUCCAUGUCAUCCCCAAGAUCUUUUGGAGCAAAGCCCCAAAAGGUGGUUUUCCAUAAAGUAACCAUAAAGCUGAUUUUCACUAUUCACGACGACAUUUUUCAGCGUCUGUUCGAACUGAAAAUAUUUGUGUGGGCUUAGAACAUUUCCAGUACCCACCAAAAUUAUUUUCAAUGCGUUCCGAAACAAUUUCGGUUUAGUGAUUUUCAUCUGCGAAAAGCAUCUGAAGUGGUUCCGGCAGCUCCGGAGCAUAUCCGGUUAUUAUCCCGGAAAAUUCCAGAAAGCUUCCAGAAUGAUUCUGGCACCCUCCAAGAAUUAUCAGGCAUGUGCCGAAACCAAUUUUAAUUUAUGGUAUCCCCUGAAACAACUUUUCAGUUUCACCGGAACUCAUCCGGUGACCUCUCUCUGCAGAACUUUUCCGCUGUCCGAAACUUUUUCAGUGAUUUUCUCUCAGACUCCCUGUCUAGUAUUCAGCAGACAGAUGACCCUUAAGCGUGUGACCCUAUAGGUUCGGUGAAGUAUAGACAUGACCUGGAACCCCUUCCGAUCAAUGAUCAACAUCGGAGCCGUGGACACCCAUAUUGACCCCUAUACCCACACGAAUGAAUAUUCGAGUGAACCUCCAGUUGCGGUGAGCUAUUCCUGUUGCUUCACGAUAUAUCACAAACACCUGAGGUGAGAUUUAUUGCAUCCCCGUGGGCCAACACUUUGUCCACUAUGCAAGUUACCUCGUUACCGGUUUUGUUCUCUUUUCUCGUUUCGUGUUCCGGCAUCCCCGUGAUCAAAUCACAAAGUGUCUGGCCAGACAAUGAUGGACACCGUAACACCGAGAGGGUCCGAGUAUAUCUCUCCAUCGUCGGAGGAGCAAAUCCCAAUCUCGAGCUAUCAAGUUACUUAACAUACUUUCCCAUGAACCCGUAAGCCGCCGUAAUAGCCAUACAGUUACAGAUGACGUUUAACAAACCCCAAAGUUCAUGAAGCAAGCAUGAAGAAACUCGAUACUCUCAUGGUCUAAUGAAUUAUGCAAACAUUAACUAUCUUUGUGUUAUAAACCAUUAACUUGUGACGAAUGUAUCUCAUAGCAUAACAUCAAUUCGGGUCGAUUCAACACAAAUGUCCUUCCUGACAUUGUGCCCUCAAAGUUGCUUGGCAUAGACAUUCCCAUGAUUGGGAAAACAUAAUCAUCAUGCAACACUUGAGCUAGUCUUAGAGGCACGACUAGGAGUACAUUUUACCGUUUAUUAUUCCACACGUGCAUAUGGGUUCUCCCCUGAGCCUUUAUGGAUAUACGGGCUCGGGAACCACAGCAGUUAUAGCAUGGAACAUAAACAUAAUUAUGAACAGGGAGAUAAUCAAUAACAUUUAUUAUUGCCACUAGGGCAUAUCUCCUACAGCGCGGUCGUGCCAUUCACAAUUGGCUCGGUGCACGUUCAUAUGGGGUGCUCUAGGUUGCGUCCUAGUGGUGUCAUGGUCCUAUGUUGUGGUUGGUUGGCCGAGAUGGUGACUGUUGCGAGGAGCUGGUGGUGGUGUGGGGUGGAGGUUGUCCCGGACUCAGUCCGGAUUUGCUUGUCCACGCCAUGGAUGGGCUGGAUCCACUUGGAUCUAGCCUAUGUUGGCUCGCCAGCGGUUGGGUUGUGGGUGGUGGCGGGGCUUCCAUGGCCUUAUGUGUUGGGGUGGUGCAGGUGAGUAGUCUACCUAGUUCCAAAAACGGCGAUUUGGAUGUGUGUGCUCAACUCGGUGAAAGUUGUGCUCUGACCAAAGCCAAUGACAAUGAUGCCAUGGGUGCCGUGAACCUUUUUAAGGCGUCGUUGUAUGUUGUUUUCGCCACCCACUUUAUGACUUUGGGGGAACCCUGGUUCCAGGUUCACCAGAAACAAAUGAUGGCGUUGCAAUCUGCGUCACAACCCUUCAUGAAGGCAUCGUCUAGAUAUCAACUCGGUUGUCAUGUUGGGUAGCUAUUCGCUAUGAGGAUGUCGACAGUGGUGGUGCAACCGACUUGGGGUCAACGGUGGUGUGCUCUUCUUCAUGUGUUACUCUUCGGAUGCCCAUCGUGUGUUAUAUUGUCCUCUUGUUGUGCGUGCUCAAGACCCUCCCACGAUUGUUGUAGUGUUGUGACGAGCUUUGGAUUUGGUGUUGUCUUGGUUCACCUUAGCCUAGGGACAGAGAAUUGAUGCCUCCCAAACGUGUUAAUUGAUCUGUCUUCCUGUGGCGGAGCUUCCAGUCAAAGUUUGUGUUCAAUGCCACUCAUUGAUUGUGGAUGCUCCUGUCUUGCCUCGUGUCCUCGGGGGUUUGGUAUGCAUGCUGGUGCGAUGCGUUAGAUUAUUUGCAAAGUUUUGGCAUUAUGAUCCCUCGAUGACACCCCACAUCUACUAUUAGUGUUUCUCGUGGUGAUGGUCUUUCUGUCUGCUAGCUUUUUCGAUAAAGGGUGUCUUUUAUUAACUGAUAAUGAAGCAUCAAGGGGAUACAUACAUAAUGAGUACACACAAUCUCUGCACAAUUGGGAUGCACACAACCAACACCAAUGCACACACCCACAAAAGAUCACACUAGCAAAGAGCAACGUCAUAGACUACCAAAGCUAUGCCUUGGCGGAGGGAGACAAAAAAAACCUAAAGCGAUCAAAAUAACUAUCAACGGUAUACAACAUGGACCACUCGCACCAACUAUCCCUUGACAACACAAGGACCAUGUGAAAGGUGUUGGGGAACGUAGCGGAAAUUCAAAAUUUUCUACGCAUCACCAACAUCAAUCUAUGGAGUAAUCUAGCAACGAGGGGAAGGGGAGUGCAUCUACAUACCCUUGUAGAUCGCGAUGCGGAAGCGUUGCAAGAACGCGGAUGAAGGAGUCGUACUCGUAGCGAUUCAGAUCGCGGUUGAUUCCGAUCUAAGCGCCGAACCACGGCGCCUCCGCGUUCAACACACGUGCAGCCCGGUGACGUCUCCCACGCCUUGAUCCAGCAAGGAGAGAGGGAGAGGUUGGGGAAGACUCCGUCCAGCAGUAGCACGACGGCGUGGUGGUGAUGGAGGAGCGUGGCAAUCCUGCAGGGCUUCGCCAAGCACCGCGGGAGAGGAGGAGGGAGAGGGGUAGGGCUGCGCCAAGAGAGAGAUGUUCUCAUGUCUCUGGCAGCCCCAAAACCCCCACUAUAUAUAGGGGAGGGGAAGGGGCUGCGCCCCCAUCUAGGGUUCCCCCCCCCCAAGGGGUGCGGCCAGCCCUAGAUGGGAGUUGGAGGGGCGGCCAAGGGGGAGAGAGGGGGCCGCACCACUAGGUGGGCCUUAGGCCCAUCUGAGCCUAGGGUUUCCCCCCUUUCCCCUUCCCUGCGCCUUGGGCCCCUUGUGGGAGGCGCACCAGCCCACCUAGGGGCUGGUCCCUUCCCACACUUGGCCCACGCAGCCCUCUGGGGCCGGUGGCCCCACCUGGUGGACCCCCGGGACCCUCCCGGUGGUCCCGGUACGUUACCGAUAGCACCCGAAACUUUUCCGGUGACCAAAACAGGACUUCCCAUAUAUAAAUCUUUACCUCCGGACCAUUCCGGAACUCCUCGUGAUGUCCGGGAUCUCAUCCGGGACUUCGAACAACAUUCGGUAACCAUGUAUAUCUAUUCCCUAUAACCCUAGCAUCAUCGAACCUUAAGUGUGUAGACCCUACGGGUUCGGGAACCAUGCAGACAUGACCGAGACGUUCUCCGGCCAAUAACCAACAGCGGGAUCUGGAUACCCAUGUUGGCUCCCACAUGUUCCACGAUGAUCUCAUCGGAUGAACCACGAUGUCGGGGAUUCAAUCAAUCCCGUAUACAAUUCCCUUUGUCUACCGGUAUGGUACUUGCCCGAGAUUCGAUCGUCGGUAUCCCGAUACCUUGUUCAAUCUCGUUACCGGCAAGUCUCUUUACUCGUUCCGUAACACAUCAUCCCGUGAUCAACUCCUUGGUCACAUUGUGCACAUUAUGAUGAUGUCCUACCGAGUGGGCCCAGAGAUACCUCUCCGUUUACACGGAGUGACGAAUCCCAGUCUCGAUUCGUGCCAACCCAACAGACACUUUCGGAGAUACCUGUAGUGCACCUUUAUAGCCACCCAGUUACGUUGUGACGUUUGGUACACCCAAAGCAUUCCUACGGUACCCGGGAGUUGCACAAUCUCAUGGUCUAAGGAAAUGGUACUUGACAUUAGAAAAGCUUUUAGCAAACGAACUACACGAUCUUGUGCUAGGCUUAGGAUUGGGUCUCGUCCAUCACAUCAUUCUCCUAAUGAUGUGAUCCCGUUAUCAACGACAUCCAAUGUCCAUGGUCAGGAAACCGUAACCAUCUAUUGAUCAACGAGCUAGUCAACUAGAGGCUUACUAGGGACAUGGUGUUGUCUAUGUAUCCACACAUGUAUCUAAGUUUCCUAUCAAUACAAUUCUAGCAUGGAUAAUAAACGAUUAUCAUGAACAAGGAAAUAUAAUAAUAACCAAUUUAUUAUUGCCUCUAGGGCAUAUUUCCAACAGUCUCCCACUUGCACUAGAGUCAAUAAUCUAGUUCACAUCACCAUGUGAUUAACACUCACAGGUCACAUCACCAUGUGACCAACAUCCAAAGAGUUUACUAGAGUCAACAAUCUAGUUCACAUCACUAUGUGAUUAACACUCAAUGAGUUCUGGUUUGAUCAUGUUAUGCUUGUGAGAGAGGUUAUUAGUCAACGGGUCUAAACCUUUCAGAUCCGUGUGUGCUUUACGAAUAUCUAUGUCAUCUUAUGGAUGCUACCACACGCUACUUGGAGCCAUUUCAAAUAACUGCUCUACUAUACGAAUCCGGUUUACUACUCAGAGUCAUCCGGAUUAGUGUCAAAGUUCGCAUCGACGUAACCCUUUACGACGAACUCCUUUUCACCUCCAUAAUCGAGAAAAUUCCUUAGUCCACUAGAUACUAAGGAUAAGUUCGACCGUUGUCAUGUGAUCCAUUCCCGGAUCACUAUUGUACCCCUUGACCAACUCAUGGCAAGGCACACUUCAUGUGCGGUACACAGCAUAGCAUACUGUAGAGCCUACGCCUAAAGCAUAGGGGACGACCUUCGCCCUUUCUCUCUCUUCUGCUGUGGUCACGUCUUGAGUCUUACUCAAUACUCACACCUUGUAACACAGCCAAGAACUCCUUCUUUGCUGAUCUAUUUUGAACUCUUUCAAAAUCAUGUCAAGGUGUGCGUUCUUUGAAAGUAUCAUCAGGCGUCUUGAUCUAUCUCUAUAGAUCUUGAUGCCCAAUAUGUAAGCAGCUUUAUCCAGGUCUUCCUUUGAAAAACUCCUUUCAAACAACCCUUUAUGCUUUCCAGAAAUUUUACAUCAUUUCGGAUCAACAAUAUGUCAUUCACAUAUACUUAUCAGAAAUGUUGUAGCGCUCCCACUCACUUUAUUGUAAAUACAAGUUUCUAACAAACUUUGUAUAAACCCAAAAACUUUGAUCACUACAUCAAAGCGUAUAUUCUGACUCCGAGAUGCUUGCUCUAGUCCAUGGAAGGAUUGCUGGAGCUAGCAUACCUUUUAGCAUCCUUAGGAUCGACAAAACCUUUCUGAUUGUAUCACAUACAACCUUUCCUUACGAAAACUGGUAAGGAAACUUGUUUUUGACAUCCAUCUGCCAGAUUUCAUAAAUGCAGCUAAUGCUAACAUGAUUCCGACUGACUUAAGCAUCGCUACGGAUGAGAAAAUCUCAUCGUAGUCAACUCCUUGAACUUGUGAAAAUACUCUUUGCCACAAGUCGAGCUUCAUAGACGGUAACAUUACCGUCCAUGUCCGUCUUCUUCUUAAAGAUCCAUUUAUCUCAAUGGCUUGCCGAUCAUCGGGCAAGUUCACCAAAGUCCAUGCUUUGUUCUGAUACAUGGAUCCUAUCUCGGAUUUCAUGGCUUCUAACCAUUUGUCGGAAUAUGGGCCCACCAUCGCUUCUCCAUAGCUCGUAGGUUCAGUAUUGUCUAACAACAUGAUAUCUAAGACAGGAUCACGUACCACUCUGAAGUAGCACGCAUCCUCGUCGUCCUACGAGGUUUGGUAGUGACUUGAUCCGAAGUUUCAUGAUCACUAUCAUAAGCUUCCACUUCAAUUGGUGUAGGUGCCACAGGAACAACUUCCUGUGCCCUGCUACACACCAGUUGAAGUCAUGGUUCAAUAACCUCAUCAAGUCUCCACCAUCCUCCCACUCAAUUCUUUCGAGAGAAACUUUUCCUCGAGAAAGGACUCGUUUCUAGAAGCAAUUACUUUUGCUUCCAGAUCUGAAAUAGGAGGUAUACCCAACUGUUUUGGGUAUUCUAUGAAGAUGCAUUUAUCCGCUUUGGGUUCGACCUUAUCAGCCUGAAACUUUUUCACAUAAGCAUCGCAGCCCCAAACUUUUAAGAAACGACAACUUAUGUUUCUCUAAACGGUGUCGUCUCAACGGAAUUGCGUGGUGCCCCUUUUAAAGUGAAUGCGUUAUCUCUAAUGCCUAACCCAUAAACGAUAGUGGUAAUUCGAUAAGAGACAUCAUGGUAUGCACCAUAUCCAAUAGGGUGCAGUUAUGAUGUUCGGACACACCAUCACACUGUGGUGUUCCAGGCAGUAUUAAUUGUGAAACACUUUCCACAAUGUCUUAAUUAUGUGCCAAACUCGUAACUCAGAUACUCAUCUCUAUGAUCAUAUCACAGAAAUUUUAUCCUCUUGUCACGACGAUCUUCAACUUCACUCUGAAAUUACUUGAACCUUUCAAUAAUUCAGACUUGUGUUUCAUCAAGUAAAUACACUCAGCAUCUACUCAAAUCAUCUGUCAAGUAAGAACAUAACGAUAUCCACUGCAUGCCUCAGCACUCAUUGGACUGCAUACAUCAAAAUGUAUUACUUCCAACAAGUUGCUCUCUUGUUCUAUCUUACUGAAAACGAGGCCUUUCAGUCAUCUUGCCCAUGUGGUAUGAUUUGCAUGUCUCAAGUGAUUCAAAAUCAAGUGAGUCGAAACGAUCCAUCUGCAUGGAGUUUCUUCAUGCAUAUAUACCAAUAGACAUGGUUUGCAUGUCUCAAUCUUUUCAAAACGAGUGAGUCCAAAGAUCCAUCUACAUGGAGCUUCUUCAUGCGUUCUAUACCAAUAUGACUCAAAUGGCAGUGCCACAAGUAUGUGGUACUAUCAUUACUAUUUUAUAUCUUUUGGCACGAACAUGUGUAUCACUGCGAUCGAGAUUAAUUUUAGGUGCAAGACCAUUGAAGGUAUUAUUCAAAUAAACAGAGUAACCAUUAUUCUCCUUAAACGAAUAACCGUAUUGCGAUAAACAUAAUCCAAUCAUGUUUAUGCUCAACGCAAACACCAAAUAACAAUUAUCUAGGUUUAACACCAAUCUCGAUGGUAGAGGGAGCAUGCGAUGCUUGAUCACAUCAACCUUGGAAACACUUCCAACACAUAUCGUCAUCUCACCUUUAGCUAGUCUCCGUUUAUUCCGCAGCUUUUAUUUCGAGUUACUAACACUUAGCAACCGAACCGGUAUCUAAUACCCUGGUGCUGCUAGGAGUACUAGUAAAGUACACAUUCAUAUAAUGUAUAUCCAAUAUACUUCUGUCGACCUUGCCUGCCUUCUCAUCUACCAAGUAUCUAGGGUAGUUCUGCUUCAGUGACCGUUCCCCUCAUUACAGAAGCACUUAGUCUCGGGUUUGGGUUCAACCUUGGGAUUCUCCACUAGAGCAGCAAAUGAUUUGCUGUUUCAUGAAGUAUCCCUUUUGCCCUUGCCCUUCUAGAAACUAGUGGUUUUACUAACCAUCAACAAUUGAUGCUCCUUCUUGAUUUCUACUUUCGCGGUGUCAAACAUCGCGAGUUGCUCAAGGAUCAUCAUGUCUAUCCCUGAUAUGUUAUAGUUCACCACGAAGCUCUAAUAGCUUGGUGGCAGUGACUAUGGAGAACCAUCACUAUCUCAUCUGGAAGAUUAACUCCCACUCGAUUCAAGCGAUUGUGGUACUCAGACAAUCUGAGCACAUGCUCAACGAUUGAGCUUUUCUCCCUUAGUCUGCAGGCUUAAGAAACUUGUCAGAGGUCUCAUACCUCUUGACGUGGGCACUGGUCUGAAAUCCCAAUUUCAGUCUUCGGAACAUCUCAUAUGUUCUGCGACGUUUCAAAAACGUCUUUGGUGCCACAAUUCUAAACCGUUAGCAUUACGCACUGAACUAUCACGUAGUCAUCAAAACGUGUAUGUCAGAUGUUUCGCAACAUCCACAGACGACGCUGAGGUUCAGCACACCGAGCGGUGCAUUAAGGGCAUAAGCCUUCUGUGCAGCAAUGAGGACAAUCCUCAGUUCACGGACCUAGUCCGCAUAAUUGCUACUAUCAACUUUCAACUAAAUUUUCUCUAGGAACAUAUCUUAAACAGUAGAACUAAAGCGUAAGCUAUGACAUAAUUUGCAAAGACCUUUUGACUAUGUUCAUGAUAAUUAAGUUCAUCUGAUUAUUUAAUGAACUCCCACUCAGAUAAACAUCCCUCUAGUCAUCUAAGUGAUACAUGAUCCGAGUCAAACUAGGCCGUGUCCGAUCAUCACGUGAGACGGACUAGUCAUCAUCGGUGAACAUCUCCAUGUUGAUCGCAUCUACUAUACGACUCAUGUUCGACCUUUCGAUCUCUUGUGUUCCGAGGCCAUGUCUGUACAUGCUAGGCUCGUCAAGUCAACCUAAGUGUUUCGCAUGUGUUCCGAGGCCAUGUCUUUACAUGCUAGGCUCGUCAACACCCGUUGUAUUCGAACGUUAGAAUCUAUCACACCCGAUCAUCACGUGGUGCUUCGAAACAACGAACCUUCGCAACGGUGCACAGUUAGGGGGAACACGUCUCUUGAAAUUUUAGUGAGGGAUCAUCUUAUUUAUGCUACCGUCGUUCUAAGCAAAUAAGAUGUAAACAUGAUAAACAUCACAUGCAAAUCAUAAGGUGACGUGAUAUGGCCAAUAUCAUCUUGCGCCUUUGAUCUCCAUCUUUGAGGCGCGGCAUGAUCACCUUCGUCACCGGCAUGACACCAUGAUCUCCAUCAUCGUGUCUUUAUGAAGUUGUCUCGCCAACUAUUACUUCUACUACUAUGGCUAACGGUUAGCAAUAAAGUAAAGUAAUUACAUGGCGUUUUCAUUGACACGCAGGUCAUACAAUAAAUUAAGACAACUCCUAUGGCUCCUGCCGGUUGUCAUACUCAUCGACAUGCAAGUCGUGAUUCCUAUUACAAGAACAUGAUCAAUCUCAUACAUCACAUAUAUCAUUCAUCACAUCCUUUUGGCCAUAUCACAUCACAUAGCAUACCCUGCAAAAACAAGUUAGACGUCCUCUAAUUAUUGUUGCAUGUUUUACGUGGCUGCUAUGGGAUUCUAGCAAGAACGUUUCUUACCUACGCAAAAGCCACAACGUGAUAUGCCAAUUUCUAUUUACCCUUCAUAAGGACUCUUUUCAUCGAAUCCGAUCCGACUAAAGUGGGAGAGACAGACACCCGCUAGCCACCUUAUGCAACUAGUGCAUGUCAGUCGGUGGAACCUGUCUCACGUAAGUGUACGUGUAAGGUCGGUCCGGGCCGCUUCAUCCCACGAUGCCGCCGAAUCAAGAUAAGACUAGUAACGGCAAGUAAAUUGACAAAAUCGACGCCCACAACUACUUUGUGUUCUACUCGUGCAUAGAAACUACGCAUAGACCUAGCUCUGAUACCACUGUAGGGGAACGUAGCGGAAAUUCAAAAUUUUCUACGCAUCACCAAGAUCAAUCUAUGGAGUAAUCUAGCAACGAGGGGAAGGGGAGUGCAGCUACAUACCCUUGUAGAUCGCGAUGCGGAAGCGUUGCAAGAACGCGGAUGAAGGAGUCGUACUCGUAGCGAUUCAGAUCGCGGUUGAUUCCGAUCUAAGCGCCGAACCACGGCGCCUCCGCGUUCAACACACGUGCAGCCCGGUGACGUCUCCCACGCCUUGAUCCAGCAAGGAGAGAGGGAGAGGUUGGGGAAGACUCCGUCCAGCAGCAGCACGACGGCGUGGUGGUGAUGGAGGAGCGUGGCAAUCCUGCAGGGCUUCGCCAAGCACCGCGGGAGAGGAGGAGGGAGAGGGGUAGGGCUGCGCCAAGAGAGAGAUGUUCUCAUGUCUCUGGCAGCCCCAAAACCCCCACUAUAUAUAGGGGAGGGGAAGGGGCUGCGCCCCCAUCUAGGGUUCCCCCCAAGGGGUGCGGCCAGCCCUAGAUGGGAGUUGGAGGGGCGGCCAAGGGGGGAGAGAGGGGGGCGCACCACUAGGUGGGCCUUAGGCCCAUCUGAGCCUAGGGUUUCCCCCCUUUCCCCCUUCCCUGCGCCUUGGGCCCCUUGUGGGAGGCGCACCAGCCCACCUAGGGGCUGGUCCCUUCCCACACUUGGCCCACGCAGCCCUCUGGGGCCGGUGGCCCCACCUGGUGGACCCCCGGGACCCUCCCGGUGGUCCCGGUACGUUACCGAUAGCACCCGAAACUUUUCCGGUGACCAAAACAGGACUUCCCAUAUAUAAAUCUUUACCUCCGGACCAUUCCGGAACUCCUCGUGAUGUCCGGGAUCUCAUCCGGGACUCCGAACAACAUUCGGUAACCAUGUAUAUCUAUUCCCUAUAACCCUAGCAUCAUCGAACCUUAAGUGUGUAGACCCUACGGGUUCGGGAACCAUGCAGACAUGACCGAGACGUUCUCCGGCCAAUAACCAACAGCGGGAUUUGGAUACCCAUGUUGGCUCCCACAUGUUCCACGAUGAUCUCAUCGGAUGAACCACGAUGUCGGGGAUUCAAUCAAUCCCGUAUACAAUUCCCUUUGUCUACCGGUAUGGUACUUGCCCGAGAUUCGAUCGUCGGUAUCCCGAUACCUUGUUCAAUCUCGUUACCGGCAAGUCUCUUUACUCGUUCCGUAACACAUUAUCCCGUGAUCAACUCCUUGGGCACAUUGUUCACAUUAUGAUGAUGUCCUACCAAGUGGGCCCAGAGAUACCUCUCCGUUUACACGGAGUGACGAAUCCCAGUCUCGAUUCAUGCCAAGCCAACAGACACUUUCGGAGAUACCUGUAGUGCACCUUUAUAGCCACCCAGUUACGUUGUGACGUUUGGUACACCCAAAGCAUUCCUGCGGUAUCCGGGAGUUGCACAAUCUCAUGGUCUAAGGAAAUGAUACUUGACAUUAGAAAAGCUCUUAGCAAACGAACUACACGAUCUUGUGCUAGGCUUAGGAUUGGGUCUCGUCCAUCACAUCAUUCUCCUAAUGAUGUGAUCCCGUUAUCAACGACAUCCAAUGUCCAUGGUCAGGAAACCGUAACCAUCUAUUGAUCAACGAGCUAGUCAACUAGAGGCUUACUAGGGACAUGGUGUUGUCUAUGUAUCCACACAUGUAUCUGAGUUUCCUAUCAAUACAAUUCUAGCAUGGAUAAUAAACGAUUAUCAUGAACAAGGAAAUAUAAUAAUAACCAAUUUAUUAUUGCCUCUAGGGCAUAUUUCCAACAAAAGGUUCUUCAUAAGCAAUACCUCCAUGAAGGAAACAACGCACAAGCACCUCUAGAAGGUUGUGCCUUCUCUUGGGUGUAAAUUUCUUCUUAUCUUCUUUAACCUUGUUACUUGUACGGUAUAUUGCCUUGUUUCCCUCAUAAAAGGAUCAACCUGUUCAGGUUAUCGAUCUGAUUUUCUUUAUAAACUGGACCAGCCAAAUACCAAGAGGGUAACUACUCUUGGCUUUUGACAUCUUUGAGCAAUAUAUUCAGGUGGGGGAACUCUCCCGCCGUGACUCCUCAAAAAAAUCUAACUAAGCCACUUAAAGUGGACCCAAUCCAAUUAUACAAAAGUAGGUUUAUGAAAAAAAUAACCUCUUGCGAACUGAGCGUAGCUCGGAUGGUUAGGUUUCUUGUGGUGAAAUCAUCCCACUAGGGUUUAAGUUCUAGACUUGGCACUGGUGCUCACAUUUUUCUAGAUUUAUUUUAGACUUUCCGGUGAUGUUCGUUCAGCGGGAGGAGACGUCCCCAUCGACUACGAAGGCACAUGUGGUAACUUCGUCAAUCUCCAGAUGUUGUGUUGACUCGGUAUCUUAGAGGUGCUCAUGAGAUAGGGUGUGUGUGUUGGCGCGCGCUCAUUGGAGCAGUUGCGUAGCUAGCGCAACACCACGCCUCGGGCUAAGCUUAGUGCUACAGUGCAUAGUGGCACUGUAUCUCCCGUCAAUGAACAAUCUUACUGAAGGCCCCUGUUGCCCGGGGCCUGGCUGCACCACAACAUAGGAGUGAAUGUAUGUGCAUGUGUGUGAUCAUCUAUGAUUAUAUUAUGUUCAAGAAAAAAAUACUCCUUUUGAAGAUAAUUAUUUUCGACCAUGUGACAACGAUGUGACUAACUUGUGACAUUUGAUACUUGGCUAGAGACAUGUAAAUGAAUCGUGAAAAGGAGAUAUUGACUGAGCAUUGUGCUCCUAAAGAUAAAGGAUAAAGCGAACACUUUUGAAGAAUAUUACAACCUUCCCUGUCACUUACAUCUAGCCACCAAUACGAAUAGAAGCUAAAAGAACGAAAAUGUGAAGGAAUGCAAUACCUAAAUUUGAAGAAAGCAUAAACCUAUAUCAACUCAUAGAGUUAGAAGUAGUAAUAGUAGUAGUCAUCGGCAUCAUCUUGGAACAAACCAAAAUAUCUUUGAGAAAUACAAUACAAACUCAUACACGAAGAUGUAUUGUCUUGAUUCUUUUAGAUUGACAAGGUGUACUCUUUUGCGUACAUUCAUUUUCUUAUUAAGAUGACCAAAUAUCUUACCAUUAGCUCUCCAUAUAGUUUAUAGAUGGUAUUAAAAAAGCAACUUUGGUCCCAAGGAUAUUAUUUUAGUAACAAGAUUGUAUUUCUCAACCAUCACAUUUCUAGAUGAUAAACCUUACUCUUCCCGCAAAGAAAUAAUGCCCCAAUGAUAGCACAUGUCAAAAAAACAAUAUUUAUCCCGUGAUUCUCUUUUCUGAAACAAUGACAUAGGAAGAAAAAAGGAAAAUGGUGCAUUCAUGCACCAAUGCCGCCAAAGAUGAUUUCUCCGAUCCACUAGCUAGCUUUCCUCGGUCCUCCCCUUGAGAGGCCACCCAACAAAACUACGCAACACCCAACUCCCUCUCCCUUUCCGCCGGCCGAACCAUCUAGGAAUUCUCCUCCCUCCCCAUUGCAGCCGCCACCGCUCUCCCCUCCGCGCUCCGCCUCCUCGCCCGCACCGCUCUACUAGUCUGUGUGGAGCGAUGAUCCACCUACCCUCCCGGCCUUGGAUCGAUUCAUUCCGUCUGUUGGAGGUGACGAACCCUAACUGUAACCAUUUGAAAAUUGAGUGACCGACUUGUGACAUUCUUAUGAUAGACAAAAACUCUAGUAUUGUGCAAUAUUUGAGUGAUAGAAGAAGAAGAAGAAGAAGAAGAAGAAGAAGAAGAAGAAGUCAUAUCGGUCAAGAGAACAAUACAUACAUAAAUAAUAAACCAUAGAAUGGAGUGUGAUUGAUUCUGAUGUCACGAAGACGAUGACAUCACGUAUGUGCUUGACUGGAGGACGACUUGUACUCUUUUGUGUGCACUUUUUAAUACAACAAUACAUCCGCAUCAUAGUUUUCUAAGAGUGCUCCGUUUUUAACAGUUAUAUUACUGAAACUAAACUUUCACCUCCCCGGCCAUGAUUUUAUUUUCUUGACCACCAAGCCAGUUGCUAAAAACACCUAGCAAUCAUCUCAAAGAUAUUUUUUUUCUUCCGAAAGAAAGAACAUAACAAGAAAAGAAAAAGGGAAGGAAAGAAAAGGGUGCAUUGCAUUGCAUAGGACUAGUAUACUAGCCAGGAGGAGGAAAGCUGCACCAAAUCCGCCAAGGAUGGUUUUUUCUUCUUCGGUCCACUAGCUUUGCCUUUGUCUUUGCCUUUGCCUAGCCUAGGAGAGGAGAGGAGAGGAGAUCGACCAACAAAACCAACACAGCACCCAGCUCCCCCUCCCCUUUCCUCCCCCCCUCCCCUCUCCGCCCGCCCGCCGAACCCUCCAGGAAUUCUCCCCUCGCCCGCUAGCCGCCGCCCCUCCCCCCACUCGUCCGCGCCGCUCCGCCGGACUGGCGUGGAGCGGGGAUCCGUCCGUCCGCCGGGGCUCCGAUUGAUUCCCCCCGCCCGUCCGUCCGUCGGAGGUGACGAACCCUAACUCGACCUGCUUGGAUUAUUAUUCUUCCCGGAGUUUGUUGAUGUUUCUCUUGCUUCCUCCCCAAUCCGUUCGUCGUUGCCGAUUUGUUCGCUGCUUCGAUGGAGUGGCCAGUGGGUUUGCUGAUUUCUUGCCAGAUAAUCAGGGGUUCAGUUGCUUGAACCCUCGGCAGGUCCGCCCCUAAAAGGUGGGAUUUUGUUGUUGUUGGGGUUCCUCUUGCUGCUGCUAUCCGGGUAGAGAAAUUGACGAAAUCAGCUGGGAAUUCAGCCGAUUCCCUGUCGCUUGUGUUUGGUUUCUUGGCCCUGGCUCUGCUUCUCUGCUUCUGAUCGUUUUCUCUGUAGUUCAUCCAGUGCUUCUUCCCGAAGCUUCGUGUGUGUUCCUCUUUAAUCUCGGUGUGAAAUUCGGAGUUCUAAUCACCGUUCCGGUGCUUGCUGGUUUCAGGUUUCGUGUGGGAACGAAGGCGGAAAGGAAGGAAGGAAACAGAGCCGACCGGCUAAGUGACCAGGGCUGCGGCGGCGAUGGCUCCGUCUCCGGCGGGCCCCACCUUCGAGGACCUCGAGCGCGACCUGCAGGCGGUGCUCAUGGACCAGAACCACCACGGCGGCGGCGGCGGCGGCGGCGCCUCCGCCGAGGAGCUCAGCAUGUACCGCAGCGGCAGCGCUCCCCCCACCGUCCAGGGCGCCCGCGCCGCCGUCGGCACGCUCUUCUCGGCCGCGCCCCCGGCCCAUGUGGACAACAGCGGCCUCGGCGGCGCCGACAUGCUAUCCGAGGAGGAGAUUCUGUCUCACCCGGCGUACCUGCAGUACUACUACAACAACGAGCACCUUAACCCGAGGCUGCCGGUGCCAAUGGUGUCCAAGGAGGACUGGCGCGUGGCGCAGAGGUUCCAGGCUGCCUCCGGGGGCAUCGGGGACUGGAGGAGGAGGCCCUCGGAGGCCACUGGCGGGAGCUCUCUGUUCUCGGUGCAGCCAGGAGCACGCGAAGGCAACGGAGUGGACUAUCUCCUGAAUGAUAGGAUGGGCAGAGGUGAAAGGAAUGGGCUCGCACGCCAGCAGUCGUCGGAGUGGCUUGGGCAAGCCGCUGAUGGGCUUAUUGGGUUGUCUGAUGUCAAUGGCCUCGCCUCCCGCCGCAAGAGCUUUGCGGAUGCCCUGCAGGUUGAAAAUAUUUUCUUAUUGCAUUUGCUGUGAUCAAUAGAUUCUUUAACCUUCAGUAGAACUACAUGAUGGAAAUAAAUUGUCUUUGCACUUAUACUGAUAGGCUACUUCUACAAUGCAUCACUUUUUUGACUAUUUUGUAGCAUGUAAGUCUCGGUUUGUUUUGUUAUCUAAUUUACAGUGGUUUCCAUGACAGGAAAAUAUUAGCCGUCCUGCUUCUAAAGCUGGUCAUCUUUCACGCUCUAAUAGCCGGAAUGCUUUUGAGAGCCCAAAUCUUUCGCGCUCUAAUAGCCGGAAUGCUUUUGAGGGCCCGAAUCUUUCACGCUCUAAUAGCCGAAAUGCUUUUGAGAGCCCAAAUCAAGUAAGGUCCUCUGAGUCAUCAAAGGCACAACUUCAGAGUAGGUCAGAAUCUAUGAAUGGCUUUCGGUCUGGAACGGCUUCACCCAGUCUUGUCAGGGUACAAAGUUUAGGUUCUUCAAUGUCGCACACAUUUGCUUCUGCAGUAGGCUCUUCGAUCUCAAGAAGCACCACCCCUGACCCUCAGUUGAUGCAGAGGGCUCCAAGCCCUUGCCUUCCUCCAGUUGGAGUUAGGAUGGGAAAAGCUGAUAAAAUGGUUGAAGGCAGAAAUGUCACUUCUCGUAAUCAUGAUGGUUCUGACACUGCAGCAGCUCUAUCUGCUAUGUCCAGUUUAAACCUCUCGGGGAACAACAUGGCCAAUUUAGAAAGUGAUGUGCAAAAUCAUAUUUACCAGAACUUUGGUGGCGAUCAAAGAGAUGCGCUCUUUAAUGUUCCAAAGGAGCAUAGACAGUUUUCUACACAGAACUUAGUUCAUAAUGCUGAUGAAGAGCCGAUAAAUGCCCUGGAAUAUGCAGUCUUUCCAAAUGGUAGCAGUCACUUGAGUAAUCCAAAUAUGAGUAAACUGGCAGCUGAAAGCAACAGCAAGUUCCCUGCACAAUCACAGCAUGGUAAUGGGCACAAGAAAGGAUCUUUGCUGAGCCCGACUGGACCUGUGUAUCUCUACCAAAACCUGAAUGGUGAUGGCUCAAACAUUGAUGUACCUGGACGACAUGCAAAGGCUAAUUCACGAAGUUCUGGCUCGUCCAUGCUGAAUAAUCACCUGAAUACUGGUACUCUCUCUCUCCCUCUCUCUCUCUCUCUCUCUCUCUCUCUCUCUCUCUCUCUCUCUCUCUCUGUGUGUGUGUGUGUGUGUGUGUGUGUGUGUGCUCCCAUUGUUUCCUGACUUGUGUUUUCCUGUCCAGAUGGUGAAUAUGCCAACCUUCUUUCAAAUCAAAGGGGGACUGGUUAUCAGGUCCAACCAAUGGAUGCAGUUUAUGCCCCUUACUUGCAGGCAAACCCCAACUCUCCCCUUGGUGCAGCUGGAAGCAUGAGUCCUUUCCGGGGAAGUAACUUUUCUGGUUCAGGCCACAUGGAUAAUGCUGCAUAUCAAAAGGCUUAUCUUGCAUCAUUACUUGCUCAGCAGAAGCUACAGUACGGAAUGCCAUACAUGGGCAAAUCUGGUGGUCUUAGCCCAACUCUUUAUGGCAGUGAACAAGCAUAUGGCAUGGACAUGGCAUAUUUAUCAAGUCCAACAUCUAGCCAUUUUAUCCCAUCUCCCCAGGGUCAUGCCAGGCAAGGAGAUAGGCUAACACGUAUUCCAUCCAUGGCAAGGAGCACCACUGGAGGAGCUAUGGGAUCAUGGAGUUCAGAGAAUGGUCUGGUAGAUAAUGCUUAUGAGUCUACUCUGCUGGAGGAAUUCAAGACCAAUAAGACCCGAUCUUUUGAGCUGCUAGAUAUUGUAGGUCAUGUGGUCGAGUUCAGGUAUUACUUCCUGGAUUUAAACUGAGUAUAGUUGCUGUGUUUAUCUUUAUGUGGGAUACUAAUAUGAUUCCCCUCUGCAGCUCGGAUCAGUAUGGGAGUCGCUUUAUACAGCAGAAACUUGAAACAGCUUCUACUGAAGAGAAGAACAUGAUUUUUCCAGAAAUACUUCCCCAAGCACGAACGUUGAUGACUGAUGUUUUUGGAAACUAUGUUAUACAGAAGGUGAGCAACUAUCUUAUGCAUUUGUAUCGAACAAAUUUGAUUUACUUAUUAACGGUUUUUUAGUUUAUCUUAUUAUUUUAAGACCUCAGCUUAAUUUGUUGUUCUUGGCAGUUCUUCGAGUAUGGGACUGAACCACAACAGAAGCAAUUGGCAAACCUACUCAAGGGUCAUGUAUAUACGCUGAGUACACAAAUGUAUGGCUGCCGGGUUAUUCAGAAGGUAUGUAUUGCUACAAACUAAACUUUUCCCUACCAAAUCAGUUAUGGACUAGCUGUUUACAGUCUUAGGGACAUCAUAUUUUUCUGUAGGCUUUAGAAGUGGUUGGUGUGGAGCAACAAACACAAAUGGCUUUGGAGCUUGACGGAAACACAAUUAUUCUGAAAUUAGUUCGUGAUCAGAACGGCAACCAUGUAAUCCAGAAGUGCAUAGAAUGCAUCCCUCAAGAAAGGAUACAGUUCAUCGUUUCUGCUUUUUAUGGACAAGUGGUUGAACUUUCCACCCAUCCAUAUGGUUGCCGUGUUAUUCAGGUGCUAUAUCAACCUAUAUCUGGUUUUAAUGGAUGCGUUUCAUUCACAAUUUACUAAAUUUACCUACCUGUAUUGACUACCACCAGAGAGUCUUGGAGCACUGUGAUGAUGAAAGCACGCAAAAUGCCAUGAUGGAGGAGAUCAUGCAGUGUGUGGUUCCUUUGACACAAGACCAGUAUGGCAAUUAUGUUAUCCAGGUAGCUGCUUAUUCAUUUACUUGUUAAAUAUUUGUCGUUGAACAAUUUCACUUGGGCCUAGUAUAUUAAAUUAGUGGGAGGGAUGGGUCAUGUUGGAUUUCUUCUACCAAGUUGGCAGUUACAUAUCAUGUAAAUGCUCUUUCUCUUGUUUUUAUAUCUCGUUAGAAGUAGUUUCUAAUUACCGAAUGUGCUUGUACUGUUUUGUUCAUACUUUCUGCCCAGUACCACCAAGUGUUUUGAUUUGUUUGGUGUGAUCUAUCAUAUGCCGAUGUAUGAUAUUAUAUAUAGAGAGUUUUUUUCUUCUGUUUACCACUUUCUCGUACUUUUUUCCUUCUGUUUACCACUUUCUCGUAUUACUGUAUAGACUAGCGAUUACCUAGUUGAAAGUUUCAUGUAUCCCACUUUACACAAAGGGCUUUUGGUUUCUUUGUUUUGUAGCAUGUCUUGCAACACGGGAAACCAGAAGAACGUACUUCUAUAAUUAAGCAGCUUGCUGGGCAGAUCGUGAAGAUGAGCCAACAAAAAUUUGCUUCCAACGUUGUUGAGAAGUGUCUGUCUUUUGGUUCUCCUGAGGAGCGCCAGAUUCUAAUUAAUGAAAUGCUUGGCACUACUGACGAGAAUGAGCCAUUACAGGUGUGUUUUCAACCAGCUGUUUAAGCAUACUGGUUCUUUGUUGCAGAACAUGCUCUGUGUAGAAAUAAAAUUGAUAUUUAUUGACUACCUGAAUAUAGCUCUUAUGUGCUAUGGCUGCUGAAUUUUGGUAUAAUUAUUGGCACAAGCUAUUUCUUGUUUUGUUUAUGUCUUUGAGGAACUGAAGUUGUUCAGCAUGCCAUAUGUGUGAAACUGUUUUCUGUUUCCUCAUCUGCUGCUUCAAGGCGCAGAUGUGGAUACCACGUCUUUAUUAUUCUAAAGCUUGUAUUUUCGGGCAAUUUCAGUCUUCUGACGUCUAGCUUCUGCUUUCCAGGCAAUGAUGAAAGACCAGUUUGCAAACUAUGUAGUGCAGAAGGUUUUGGAGACUUGCGACGACCACAACCGUGAGCUGAUUCUUUCGCGUAUCAAGGUCCACCUGAACGCACUGAAGAGAUACACCUACGGGAAACAUAUUGUUGCCCGGGUGGAGAAGCUUAUAGCCGCAGGAGGUACCAGUUUCCAAAGCCCCUUUUAGUCAUCCUUACUGCAAUUCAUCCUUCUUCGUUUUUAAGAUGCAUGGUCAUGGAGGCGUUUGCUUGUUGCUUCCUAAUCUGCAUAUCUUUGCAAAUCCUUCUUCCAUUUGGAUUUAAUUUGUAUUUCUCAUUUGCAGAAAGGCGUAUCGGGGUCUCGUCGCAGUCUUGCAGAGAUUGAAUGGUUAGUUUGACAGAAUAACCCCUGUACAGACAGAUAGCGAGGCUAGCCUUACCAGUAGUCGUUGUCCAGUGCCGUCGUCGGAGAAGUUGGAGCUCAAGAAAGCCUUUGAUUGUAAAUAAAGGAGGGGGCCUCUGGGAAUAAAGAAAGAGAAAGAGAAGAGAUUUUGCUUGUUCAAAAGGAGAGAAGUUGUAUAUUUGUACCGUUUUUCCCUCUUCGAGUAAGAUACAUAUCUAUAUAUGAAUAUAUAAGAAAGGCAAAGCAUGGAAGCAAAUUAGCUGAAAUAUUUAGGGUUAGAUGAUGAUGGGAAGCAAGGAUACCUGUAGAUCCUUUUGCCUUGGGUUUCAUCGGUGUAUAAGGUUUCCAUCUCUUGUAAAGAUUUCCUAUUUUACUGAUGUUUCGCAGAAAUCAAAUGUUUCAGUCUUUGUAAAGAAGGUUUCACAGAAAUCAAAUGAAUGCCUGUCUAUGAAAUGAAUGCAUGCAGCUCUGGAAGUACCAAUCUUUUUAUUAUGUUUCGUCUAUGAAAUGUCAGCAUGCCGCUCUGGAAGUACCAAUCUUUUUAUUAUGUUUUUUUUUCAAAACUGAGGCAAAAGGUUUGCCUCAUAUAUUAAUUAAGCAGAGAGGGGAGUUUGUUACAACAGUCACCCUUACACGGCAUGAAAGAUUACUCACAGAAAAUAACAGACCCUAGUUUCUUUGCUCCGGCGGUGACCCAAAGAUUUGCCUCGUUAGUGAUCAUAGUGAGCAAAAAUGGCGGUGGGGCGCUCUUAUGACGGAAGACCCGGGCAUUUCUUUUAUUCCAUAUGGUCCAUGACACCAGCAUGGUCAGCGAGGCCAUCGCUUUUCUGUUGGGGACUCCUGCGCCGGUUCGAUUUGUCCACCAAUUCUUGAUGGAAACAUCCAGAUGCCACAAGGAGGUGUCCAUUUGUUCUAGACGGAAUUUCUCAGUGACCAUCUUCCAAAGCCGUAUGGAAUAACGGCACUUGAAGAAAACAUGUGGCCCACUCUCUUGCUCCUUUUUGCAAGAGGACAAAGACCACAAUUUGGCCAUCCCCGCUUGGCAAGCCUGUCGGCUGUCCAGACUUCAGAGUCUAUCUUGGAUAGCCAACCAAGCAAAGAACUCAUGUGUGGUAGAUGCAUCUUUUUCCAUCUUUUUUGGUGUUGAUGUCUUACCUGCUAAUUUUACUCUUUCAAGCUGUCUCUCGACUUUUGACAUAUUUUCCUCUUAUUUCCUCAUAACGAUACAUCAAAUAUUUAUCGAGAGUUCAUGUUUUGACUUCUAUUCUUAGUUUCAUCACAGGAACAUUUGCAUGCUCAUAAUAGCAGUUGAAAGAGAGGAACUGGCUGAAUUUGUUGCACUGGCGCUAGGCUUGGCAACUGUUGUUAACAACUACACCCAGUUGCCUCGGUUAGAAAUAUAAUUUGUGUCACAACUCAUAACUGAUCUAAAAUGUAAUUAGAUGAAUUGUUGUUCAAAGCAUGAUCUUGCAACAGUUAAAAUACGCCUUAUAUUUCGAAACUGGUGGGUGGAGUAUGUGUCCACCGCCUGCACCGACUUCCGACAGAAUAUAUUCUUGCGCAAAUUCAGAAUGCAAUUUCAACUUUUCAUUAUUCGAGUUUCGACAAAAGGGCAAAGCCCCAGGAUUCCUAUAUAUAGCCAAGCAUGAGAUCCUCUAACAGUCACAACCACCAACCAUAAGCUCAUAUGGGUACAGUAACCGGUGCAGACUCCUAAGCACCACCGGAGAAUGUGCCCAGGAGCACCGCGGCUGACAGUGAACCGUGGCAGUGGUGUCUGCCGGACGGCACCACCGGCUUUUCUUCCCCCAGGGGUUGGUCGGGGGCGGCUGUGUCACGCGCACGGCAUCUUUGUGGCGGCGACGUCCUUGGACAUCGUGAAGAGGUCCAGGUUGUGGUGGUACCUGCCCUCCACCACGGCGUCAUCUGCUCCAAGGAUGCUCUCAUCCAUGGGCGGUGACCUCCUGGCGCCGUACCCCGCAGCCUGCUCGUCGUCGUCGGAGCAGUUGCCGUUCUCCAUCACGUCCUGCAUCGCUAGGUCAUCGUACUCCUCGUCGGACUUGGUGGAGUGCUCGUCGACGGAGCCUGCCUCAAUCUGAAGGAAACGGUUGGCACAGAAAACACUUAGCAAUCUGGUUCACUGAUGCACAGGCUUUGAAAUGAGGCACGCUAUCAACUGGCGUUCCUGGUUAGUAUAUGGCACAAUAUAUUUGGAGUUUUAGGAAGCACCAGCUGCAAUCAAGUGUCUGCUACCACAACAGAAGUACGAGCAAAUCGCACUAGAAAAAUUGCUGGAUAACAUAGUAGCUACCUCAUGAACAUCUCUUUCUUCAUCAGUUAGAUCCUCAUCAGUUUCAGCAUCAGGUGGGUCGUCAGCAUCUUCUUCACUACCAUAGACUGAAUAAUCCUCCAUAUGCUGGAAAGGUCACCAGAGCAUUCGUUAGAUCGGAAUGCAUAGCAUCAGCAAUCGACUAAAAAAACAUUAACACAUUACUGCCAGUAUUAAUAACAAACAUAUCUUAGUGUUGAUGCACAACACAUACCUCUUUGGAGGCGCAGUCUGACGUCUUUGGUGAACUGCAGCAUGAGGAGAAGUAUCUACCGCCUGUCUCGAUGCCAUCAGCCCUCAGGUCAUCUACACUUCCAGCAUGGCUGGUGCCACCACCUGUGUCACUCAGCCACGCGCUAAUCCCGAAAGAACCAAACUGGAGAUUAACUGACUCCGCCUUCCCAAUUUGUGAUGGGUUAACCAUAUGAUUUCCUACUGAUCUACCACUGCCUGUACUGCCAUUAGCAUUGCCAUCACCUGAAUCUACAUGCCAAGCCUUAGUCACCGAACCAUCAGGGUUAAGGAGAGCCAUCAGAUUCCUCGAAGACCCCUUCCUUUGAAUGAACUGGAACAUGCCCUUGGAACCCAAGGAGUUAGCUGCACGUUGGUUCCUGUAUUCCUCAUCCACUACAGGAACAGUGUUUGUGUUGAGGUCAUACAGCUGCUCCCCAACUUCUCGCCGGCGAAGACAGCUGAAAACCGUGGCGUGUAUCGCUGCCACGCUCUGGUCAACGUUAGUGUUGUUAAUUUUCGGCACAAGAUGCUUGUCUGCUCGGUUGCAAAGGUAUUCCUGGAUAGCCCUGAUGUUCCGAAUGUACUUGAUGUAUCUGUUCUUUGCUGGGUCCAGUGUCAUGUACUUUGCGCGCACAGCAAACCGUUCCAUGUGCUUCUCCUCAUUUGCAAUGUAUACCAUAAAUGGUAUUAUGGAAGGAUGUUUCUUCAUUAGCCCCAUCUAUUAGAUAUUCAAAAUAAAAUAUAGCUUAGUCCAUUCAUCAGUGCAACAAAAUAUAUAACAGGUAAACGACGCGAGAGCUGUAAUAGAAUAUUAGUGUUGCUUCUGGACUAGUACGCACCACAAAAUUGAGGCUCAAAUGAACUCCUUCAACAAUAACAGAUUGCUUCUGCUCUUCCCAGGAUGUAAUUAAUCUGUCCAGGCUGUCGAUGACCAUCUCGCUUUGAGCCUUGAACCCUUCUAUUGCCAUUUGUUUGCUGCCAAUCAGCUCGGUCCUAGGAGGUAAUACUGAGGAGCCGUGACGAGAUUUAACAUCUGAAGUGUCAUCUUGGCCUUCACUGGUGUUAGGAUGAGAAACCAUUGCGAGCUUCUUCGCCUGGCGCUUAGCCUUUGACUGAGCAACUGCAACAGGGUCCAAGUAUUCUCCUGCAUGGUAGGUUGAUGCAUAGAGAAGAGGAUUUUGCUUUUCAUCUGCAAAGCUUCUCAUCAUAUGGCGUAUAGAAUCAGUAGAAACCACUGUCGUUAUGCCCAAUCUACUACCCUGGAUAAAACAAACAGACUGUAUUUAGCAUUCAGAAAAGAGUCAGCAUCACGUAUCUCUUUAAUUUACAGUGCAAUCUUCUAAAAGCAACAAGAAACACAACAGAGCAGGAAAAGGUGUCAAAACGCUUUAAAUUGGUAUUUGAUAUGCAGAUACUUAUCAUUAAAUGCUUCUGUGUGUACCAAACUACUGUGUCACUGGUGUUCUAUAUAGUAUAGCUAUCACCUAUCCAGAAAUGGCUGAGACGCUUAGGUUAGAAAAUUAACAUACCAACAGAGACGAUAGGGUGGACUUGCCGCAUCCGCUUGUCCCACACAAGAGUACUGUCACCGAUUCCUUUUUCUCCUUAAUUCUGAUCAGAAUAAUUGGAAAAAGACAGAAUUGCAAAAAUUAGCUGCCGUUGAAUUCAUUGAGUAGCUACCUAUGGGCGCACCGAGAUGACUUGGGUGAUAUAUGCAUAUUUCAUUGGAGCAUAGUGCAUGCACCGUGCUCAUAAGAAUAAUUUAGCUUUUUUCGAAGGAAUCAUCUGACUUUAACAAAGCACGCUAAGCAUAAAUGUCUGUCCUAAGCCUGCUCAGUUGUGGACAUAAUAGAUGACUAGGAGCUGUAAAUGAAAUAGAUGAAGAAAUAUGCUAGUUGGAUUGCUUCUAAUUCAUAUGAACUCAAUAAGAUACAGAUAGGGUAAAGUUACCGGCAAGCAAGAAGCAAGUCGGCCUUCUGGUUUGGUCCAACAUACUUGUAAGAAGAGAGUGCAUCACACACGAUAUUCAGAAACCUCUCUCUUGAAACAAGAAUCGUUGUUUGUGUCUUGUACAAUUCGAAGGGCAAGCUGCUGCUACUUGCGUCUGGAAUUUCUGUGUUAAGCAUCUCAGCAUCUUCUCCAAUGCCCAUGCUAGAGACAUUUUCUUCUUUAACAGCCCUGUCCGACCUUGAUGCAUCCAAGAAUUCACUCCUCAUCACACUGAAUACUCUCUUGCUAAUCUGACGGUGACAACAAGGGAGACAAAAAAGAAACUGUUAAACUCCACACACCAAUAAAAAUAAGUUGUGCACACGAACGGCGUAUUAGUUCGCAGCUUAUCAAAAUAGACGAUGAGGAAAAUAAGAUACGCCAAACAGUCAUGACCAAAUCAGAGUAAGAAAAUUAAGUUAAGUGAGAACCUGAUACCAGAGCUCAGGUCAACUCCAAGAUGCAUAUUUGCUUAGGCAGCUAACCAAAAUGGACGAUGAGAAAAACAAGAUAUGCCAAACAGUCAUGACCAAAUCAUAGUAAGAAAAUUACGUCAAGUGAGAACCUGAUGCCAGAGCUCAGGUCAACUCCAAGAUGCAUAUUUGCUUGUAGGAAGCUAAUCGAAAUGGAAGAUGAGGAAGACAAGAUACGCCAAACAGUCAUGACCAAAUCAGAGUAAGAAAAUUAUGUCAAGUGAGAACCUGAUACCACAGCUCAGGUCAAAUCCAAGAUGCAUAUUGGCUUAGGAAGCUAUAAUCGAAAUGGACGAUGAGGAAAACAAGAUAUGCCAAACAGCCAUCACCAAAUCAGAGUACAGAAAAUUACGUCAAGUGAGAACCUGAUACCGGAGCUCAGGCCAGUUCCAAGAUACAGACUAGAACGGUAGCCCGUCAAGCUACAGUUCCCGAGCAUAAAGAUCAUUGGCAAGGCAAAGCCUAGAUGUCUAUAUCAUCAUAACAUGGUGAUGUCUCUGUCAUCAGAGCACAAUAGAUCGAAGAAAGGAAUAGCGAUUCACACUAGGUGUAGCAAGGGGCAACGGUAUGUGACGAUAAUGACCCCCAAGUAAAGUAUCACCAAAAGACAAAAUUCAGUCUGCAACAAGAGGAAUAGCUUGGACAAAAUACGCGGAAUCAGAUCCAAUCUUUUGUUGCAAAGAAUGACCCUGGCCAAAAGAUGGCGAAAAGGAUAUGAGAGUUUCCUGUCGAAUCCAAUCCAAGGGAAGUGAACCGACCCGGGGGAGCUUGGAUUGGAUUGAGCCAAGAACAUGAUGUGCUCAUCGAUUGGCGGAGCAGUUGUCGCCUUCCCAUGUCAAAAUCGCCCCACCGCCAAACACUAUGCCAGGCAUGCCUAACUACAUCGCUUGAGCAAAGAAGAACCAAUUCAAAACCCUGCUAGGCAUGUGCUGUCCGUGAAUGAACAUGAAGGAUCCAUGGCAUCUACUAGAACAUAAUAGAAGCAGGCAGAGGCAGUUGUCACCUUGCCGUGUCAAAAUCGUCCCACUGCCAAACACUAUGCUGGGCAUGCCUAACUACAUCGUCUGAACCAGGAAGGAGCAAUUCAAGCAGCAGCGCGAGAACUCUAUGCUGCACAUGUUGCUGGCCAUGGAGGAUCCAUGGCAUCUAAAACAGAGCAGAAGCAGGCAGUUCCGUCCUCAGUCUAAUCUAAUCGCGGCAUGACGCGAGCGUGUCCCGUGAGGGCGCGCGAGGGCCUCCAAUCGGAGGCGAGCGGCCCUCCAUUGCUCGGGAGGGAUCAAGAUCGCGGACAGCGAGAGCGGCAGCAGAGAGGGGAAGGAGAUGGGGGGAGGGGAGGGGGGACGACGGACCUUGAAGGCGUGGCGAGCCUUGCAGCCCAUGAGCUGGAGGGUGCUCUGCAGGACGGGGCGCGUGUACCGGAACGCCCGCCGGCCGCCGCCGUCGGCGACGGCAAUGUAGAGCAGCUUGGGCGGCGCCGUCUCCGCCAUGGCCGGGCCCGGAUCAGGGACCCUCACGGAGCCCGCUGGGUCAAAGAUGGGGUUUUCAGGCGCAUUGCGGCGGCGGGGUCAUGGGCGCGGGCAUGAGCGUGGGCGUGGGGCGGUGGGGGAGGGCCGAGAAGGCAAGCAAGCAGGUGUCGUCACGACGUCCACGCCGCGCGCGCCCAUUGCUUCCACAUGGCCGCGCUCCCUCUCCCUCUCUCUCUCCGCUCUGCACGAGAGGAGUCGUCGCCUUCCUCCUCCGCUUUCUCUCUCUAAAGUUGUGGGAUUUGGCCUCCCUCCUCUGCUUUUCUCCUCUCCUCCUUCCGCUUUUAUUGCCUCCUGCCUCUCUCCUUUUUUUUCUCUCUUUUCUUUUACCCUUUUUUUAUAGAGCUAUUAAUGUACAAAUAAUAAAAGUGCUACUUGAAGACGUGGCGUCGACCCGUUGGCUGGGCAGCUGGGGUUGUUGCCAGCCCACCUGAGUUCGAGUCCCGACUCAGACUCGCUCAUAAAUGCUAUCUCCUAAGAAGCGUUCACCAUCUAAGAGGGUCCUUAAUUUAAGAUAUGUUAUUAAACAUUGUUAAUGCAAUUAAUAAAACUGACACACAUUGAACGAGGAACAAAGCAAGUACUUUCUCCUCCUGCUUUAAAUCAAAGCUUUGAUUUGAACAUCAACAUGGUUGUAUCCCAUUUGCAAGGUUGCGGUGUCACAUCCUUGCUAACCGAGGUUCGGUUACCGUCGGGAACGAAUUUGGUAUCUCGCCCAGGUGGGCCCCCUUAAUAUAUUGUCCACGAGGAUUCUCCCCUAUUAGUUCUCGUUUUAAAUGGCUCGAAUAUAACUUUGACAUCAAUCACGAGAUUCUAAUAGUCCAGUAUUAUUCUUAUUGAAUUUUAUUUGUUUUCGAAUCCCUCUUGUGUGGAUCUUUUCGUGCGAAUGGUUGUAUCUGUCCAUCGUCUAUACGUGGCACUGGCUGUAGUAUUAAGGCUGUGUUUGUUUGGGUUUUAGAGACCAGUUUCCGGUAGAAAUAAGCUGAAGCCGUAACAAACAGCUAAAAUGGAGCUGUUUUGGGCUCACAGUCCAAAACUGUUUUAGUCGUUUUUACGUGGUACUGGUUGAAGCGAGCCGAGCCGUGCUUCGACCCGGAAACUGUUUUGCCGCAGUGAAAUUCCCACCGAUGCCCUUGUUAAUUCAGCCCAAUUACGAAAGGAAUGCCCCCGAUGCCCUGUUUCAGUCGAUCCCCGUCUCGUCUCCUUCAUCGCUAACACACGCACGCAGAGGGCAGCGAGAGGGAGAGGAACCUAGGGUUCCACCGCCGCCACCGCAAGAGCCGCCAGCGCCUCCGCUCUCCGCCGCCGCAAGAGCCCCCGCCGUCGCCGUCAUCCACUGCCUCCACUCGCCGUCAUCCGCCGCGGGAGCCGCCGCCGCCUCCACUCGCUGUCAUCCCUACUCGCCGGUCCCCUCCACCGCCUCCACUCGCCUUCAUCCACCGCCGGCCCCCGACGCCCACUCCCUCGUGCACCCAUGUCGUCGGCUGUGGUGAGCAUUUCUUGGCAGAAAAUUUUAUUCUUUGUGGAUGCUCUACUUGCUGUAUAUGCUACAUAAUGCUUGAUGUGGAUGCUCUGCUUGCUGUACAUGCUGCAUAAUGCUUGAUGUGGAUGCUCUUCUUGCUUGAGGCUUGAUACAUGAUGCAUGCUUAUUGUACAUUGAUGGGUAAAUAAAGAUUUCAAGCUUGCUGUUGCUAUGGAUGCUCUGCUUGAUGUACAUGUGGAUGCUCAGUUUGCUUGCCAGACAUGCUUGUUUGCUCGCUGCACAUGCUUGUUUGCUAUACUAGUUCUUCCGUGUGCUGGAGGAUUAAUCAGCAUAGCCUUGUUGCUUGGUUGCUAUACAUGCUGGAUAUUUUGUAUGCUGGUAUAAAUUAUGGUGAAAAUGAACUAGAUGGAGAAGACAGCGAAGAAGGCAGCUAGGAAGGCAGACAAGGGAGACAAGACAGACAAGGCACUUUGGGAUGCAUACCAUACUAGGAUAUUUUGCGAGUUGUGUGCGAGGGAAGUUGAAGCAGGCAAUAGGCCGGGGGCGUUCUUGAGUCCUAGAGGAUAUAAGAAUUUGGGGGAGAGCUGGUUGCAGAUAACUAAGAAAAGUUAUGUGAGGAUGCAAUUCAAGAAUAGAUGGGAAAAUCUCAAAACUAUGUAUUGUCAAUGGAAACAAUUGCAAAUUGACGCAUCUGGACUUGGAUGGAAUGCUAAGCUAGGAACCAUUGAUGCUGAUACUGAUUGGUGGAACACUCACCUAAUGGUAAGUUCAUGUUACUCAUAGUAUUUACAUUGGGUUUUAUAUUAUCUUAAUUAUCCAUUUAUCUGACCUUUUGUUCUUUUGCUAUUUUUCAGAAACACCCAGAGCAUGCAAAGUAUAGGAAUGCAGGACCACCCAACUUGGCUGAAAUGGACCUCAUGUUUGAUGACCGUCAUGUCACCGGUGCCGAGUCCGCUAUCCCCGGUGAGAUACCAUUGGACAAGGAGGAAGUCACUAUUGACGAUGACUCUGAUAGUGCAGAGGAUGAUGAUGAAGUCAUCAAAGCAAAACCAAAGAAGCAGCGCAAGACCAAGUCCUGUAAAGAUGAUUUUUCUGCUCUAGAUGAGAAGAACCCAUUUGUUCGGAUGUACAAGAAGGCUAGUGAUGCGAUAUGUGUAACGGCUGAAAGUAUAAAAGAAGCAUCUAGCUCCAGCAAGGCUCAUCCUCCCCCUUCUCCUCCGGUUGCUCCUGCCCCUCCUCCUCCGGUUGGCCCUAGUAUGAAUGAGGCAAUGGAGAUGGUUCGUGACUGUGGAGUUGAGGAAGGAACUCCUCUCUUUUUCUCUUCCAGCAUGCUUUUUAUGAAGCCUGAGUAUAGAGAAAUGUUUGCGUCGGUUCAGACCAAGGAAGGAAGGUUUGAUUGGCUCGAGAGAGCGCAUGAUUAUGCUAUGUAACUUUUCGUUUAGAAUAAUUGCUUAGUUCUUUGCUUGGAUUAUGCUAUGUUGUUGGUCUGUACUAUUAUUGACAUUCGUGUGUGAACUAUUUUCUUUACUGAAUGUGAACUAUUUGGUUAUUUGAAUGCUAUUUUCCCAUAUGUAUGAAUAAUGGAUAUGACAACUAAUGUUGUUGUCAUGUUGCAUUUGUAGACUGAUGGAAUUGACGACAGAGGUGGUGACGAUGAUGAUGCUAACAUAAAGACAGUACAACUUCAAAACUUGCUCAAGUUAAGUACUGAUCUCGCAACCUUAGGUCAAAUGGCUAUGCACUACAGCAAAUCUCGUUUGAAUAAGCAACAUAGGCAACCUAGGAGGAUUGCAGUACAAACUGGUUAUGAAUGGGUGAUGGAAAAGUUGGCACGUCCUAAAUCUUGCUACAAAAUGUUUAGAAUGUAUCCAGAUGUUUUCUUGAGUUUGCAUGGUGUUUUAGUGAAUGACUACCAUUUGGAGUCAACUAGCGAGAUGAACUCAUUGGAAUGUCUGGGCAUGUUCUUGUGGAUGCUUGGAGGCCCUCAAUCAUUUCGCCAAGCCGAAGAUCGGUUUGUUCGGUCAACUGAAACAAUCCAUAGGAAGUUCAAUCAUGUGUUGCACUGUGUAAAUUCCUUAGGAACAUCAUCAAACCUAUAGAUCCUACGUUCACAGAUGUGCAUCCAAAAAUUAGGGACAAGCGUUUCUGGCCUCACUUCAAAGGUUGUAUUGGAGCAAUUGAUGGAACUCACAUUCCCGUUAUAGUUCCAGCAAAAGAGACCUGUAACUAUAUGGGACGACAUAGUUACACAAGUCAAAAUGUGUUGGCAGUUUGUGACUUUGACAUGAGAUUUACCUUUGUCGUUGCCGGUUGGGCGGGGUCGGUACAUGACACACGGAUUUUCCAUCACAGUAUCGAGAAGUAUGCUACUACUUAUCCCGCGCCUCCUAAAGGUACACAAAUCAAGUGUUAGAAUUUUGUAUAGAAUGUUUCUAUUAUUUUGUACAUGUUCUCUAAUUUAUUCUCUAUGGAUGUAGAUAUGUACUACCUUGUUGAUUCCGGUUAUCCAAACCGGGUGGGAUAUCUAGCUCCUUACAAAGGGACAACCUAUCACCUUGCGGAAUUUCGUGCUGGACGCCGCCCACCGAGUGGUAAAUUUGAGGUGUUCAAUCAUGAUCAUUCUUCUCUUCGGAAUGUGAUUGAACGCUCAUUUGGUGUGCUCAAGCAGAAAUGGCGCAUCCUAAGGGAUGUGCCACACUUCAAGGUGGGAAGUCAGACGAUGAUUAUCAGUGCUUGCAUGACGCUUCACAAUUUCAUUAGGGACAGCAAGCUACACGAUAAAGAGUUUGAUAAAUGUGAUGAGAAUGAAAAUUACAUGCCUGCAGUCUCACGGUCAACACCUUUGCUUGGCGACGCCGUUCCCACUUCCUCUGAUGAAGGCAACAUGAACGACACGCGUGAUAGGAUUGCGAACUCUUUGUUUAUUGCGCGACAAGCUACAUAGAUUAGUAUUUGUACGACAUCUAAUUAUAUGUACGGAUUAUGAAUUAUAUGGACAGUCUAAUCCUUUAGCUCUCUUUUGUAUGGAUUAUUAGUCAUAUGGACUAUCUUUUGUAUUGUACGGGCAAUUGUGACUUGCAUGAAGUAGCGAUGUGACAACAUAAUUCUUUUGCUCACUAUUAUUCUAUGUAUAUAUGAGCAAGAAAGUGAGAAAAAUAUUUUUAUGAAAGAUUUUAUGCAUUACCAUAAAACAAAUCAUUCCCUGUCAGUCAAGAUACCAUUUAAACAAUCUAUUAACACUAAAUCAACAAGUUACACUGAUCUCAGUACUCUAAGAGCAUUUUAGGCUUUUCAUCACCUCAGAGUCGUUUCCACAGCUGCGUUGCCAAACAGCUAACCUUUACUACAGCUGUUUCCGCGGCACAACAGUUUUGCCAGCACAGCAAGUCCACAGCUGAAUCUGUUGAAACUGAAGCCCAAACAAACACAGCCUAAAUCGCCUUGGUUAUGCCGGUGUUCCCGCGUGAGAAUUAAUUAAUUAAUUAGGAGAAGAGAUCAGACAGGAACAAGUGAGAUUUUUAUAUGAGGACAAGAAAAGUGCAGCUUUGGAUUAGGCAUCCAUCUGCACUAGGUGUUGGGCACGUAGGUGAGUACUCUUGUUUAAUCCAGCGAUAUAUUUGGCGGCCUAUGCAUAAAUCAAUCUCUUUCUUAGAAAGAACCAUGGGGACAAAAAUUGAACUGCUAUUUACAGACUGACUUGAUUUUCAUUUCACUCAAAUAGCAAAACUAAACUUGUAUUUGCAAUCAAGUCGGUGCUUAGUAGUUGAAUUACUAAAACUCCGAGUACGGACUUCAUUCCGAUUGUCUGGACUGGAAAUUCGAAAAUAACUAUGUAGUACAGUAUAAUAUUUAAUUUAUCCCGAAACGUAUUCAUUGAAUUGUAGCACGGUAUUCUUGCUUUCAUACGUACAUCACAAAAAAUAAUUGCUGCUCAAAGUUACAUGUGUUAAGGACCAUGUCAGUGUCCAAAAUAUCACAAACUGGAGGGAGUAGCUUGUACAAAUUGUAACCGCGAAUAGGAUAAAAGAAAGGGUGGUGUUUCCCUCGCAAAAAAAGUGGUGAUGUUUUACAGAUUGUCAAAAGAAAGGGCGAUGUUUUACAGUGGUGUGAAUAAAAAUGAUCUAGACGGGGCAUAUGUUACAAACUUUUUUUCUUAGAAAAAAAAAGAAAAAUCGCUCGGAUCAAAUUUGGUAAAGUUUGGCCGAUCGUCCGUGUGCGCGAUUCCAUUAUGCUGUUUGCGGCCGGCCGUGGAACGUAGUACGUGCGUGCGUGCACGCGUGACGAGAACCAGCGGCGGCGAGGGCCGGCGUCCGUCCGUUGUUGUAGGAUAGAUCCCUCUCCCUUUAAUUUCUUUCCGGCCGGCACCUUUGCUUUUGCACCCUCUUUCGUUCCCUUUUUGCUUUUCGUACCACGUGUGUAGAACAAACAAACAAACAAAUGAGAUGGCCGUCCGUCCACGGCGGGCGAGACCAGAUGGGUUCGGACGGCGGCGAUCGGAAUCGGAUCGACGACGUACGCCGACCGGCCGCCUCCAGAAGACAGACGUAUCUAUCUACAUCGCUCAUAGGUAUAGAAAGACAUAGACGGACCCUCCUUGAACCAAGAUAAAACACAGGGCAAAGUCUAGACGUGCGAGGUCCUCAAGAAGAAAAAGAAAAAGUCUCACUGACCGACCCUUUCACGAAAAAAUCCAUGCAAUUCGGGUCGCGGUCGGUUCCUGCUGCACUCGACACGCGUGCGUGCAUGCGUGCGUGCGUAUGUAAAUACGUUCUUCUUUUUACAUCCGUAUGUAAAUACGUUGGGUGGACGACUGCCGGCACGGUCGAUCGGGUGGCCGGUGCUCUCCUCUCCUCUACCACCACUACUCCAUCCGUUCAUUAACUUAUGGUGUAUAAACUGAAUUUCGUGAACAACGUUUGACCACCGACUGCGCUUUUAAUAUGCGAUUUAUAUGGUACUCUCUCAGUUUACAGGGCGUGCGUGUACAAGUCAUAUAUUACAAAAAAUAUACCAAUAUAAACUUCAGAUGUUCUAUUUUCAAAAGGUAUAAUUUUUGUGUUAUAUAGUUUAUAUUAGAGUGAUAAAAUUGGCAACCUAGGUAUGCGCGUAGGACUUGUAAACUGAAACGGAGGGAGUAUGAUACAAAAGCAUGUCUAUACGUACAUAAAUUGCACAUUGAUGGAGUAGUGGUUGAUCAAAUCCUUAUAUAUCUGGGAAGCUCAAUAGGACGAGAAGCAAGGGGCGAGUACUUUCGCAUGUUUUUAAAUUAAAAAAGGUUGUUGUGGUGAGUACAACUUCGACACUAAUCAAUAGAUUCUAACAGUCCAUUUUUAUUUUUAUUGGAUUUAUUUUAUCAUGCUAUCUCUUUAAAUCAAUGGCAUGCAUUUCAUAAUCUAUUUGAUUGGGUUUUGAGGCGCAUUGCGGCGGCGGGGUCAUAGCCGCGGGCACAGGCAUGGGCGUGGGGGCGGUGGGGGAGGGCCAAGAAGGCAAGCAAGUGUCGUCAGGAAGACCACGCCGUGCACGCCCAUGGCUUCCACAUGGUCGCGCUCCCUCCCUCUCUCUUUGGCUCCGCUCUGCACGAGUCGUCACCUUCCUCCUUGGCUUUCUCUCUCUAAAGUUGUGGGAUUUGGGCUCCCUCCCCUGCUUUUCUCCUCUUCUCCUUCUACUUUUAUUGCCUCUUGCCUCUCUCGGUUUUCUCUCUCUCUUUUCUUUCAUUACCACCGUUUCAAUUUUUUAGAGCUAGGAGUAUUAAUGUACAAUAAUAAAAGUGCUACUUAAACAACCAUUUUAAAAAACACUAUUCCCUGAAAAAACACUAUUACACUAUUAAUAUAAAUUUAUAUGUUAUGAAAUCCUAUCUAUAAGUAAGUUAUUUGUAUGAUUUUUUCAAAGACUUGCUAGUAAUUUUAUUAUUCUUGUAUGAAAGUUCUUUUAAAAGUUGGUUUUACUUAAUAAAUGUAAGAUCUCACGAAUCUCGAUGUAAUUUUGCACGGAUCUAAGUGUAAGAUCUCACGAAUAUAGCAUUGACUGAGGCAUAACCAAGUCUCGGCCGACUGAGGUUUAGCAAGACUAUGUGUAAAUUGCAUACUGGUGAAGUAAUUGUUGAACCAAUUAGUAACUUAUUAGCAAAACUUAAAUGCCUCGAUGAGUACUUUCUCCUGCUUUUAAUCAAAACUUUGUUUUAAACAUCAAUAUGCCCACAUAGCCCACUGGCAAGGUCAUAGUGCGCAUCCUUGUCCUUACUGAGUGGGACUCGAUUACAGUCGGAAACAAAUUCCGGUAUCUCGCCCAGGUGGGCUCCUUAAUAUAUUGUCCAUGACUUCAGGAGGCUCCUCAUCUCGUUUUAAAUUUCUCGAAUAUUACAUUGAAAGUAAUCACGAGAUUGUAGUAAUAGUACAAUAUUAUUCUUACUGGAUUUUAUUUUAUCAUACUUUACUCUUUGGCACAACCAUGCAGUAGGAUCGUUUCUUGUGUCAAUAAUUUUUGAUUCGGUCCCUCUUGUGUGGAUCUUUUCGUGUGAAUGGCUGUAUCUGUCCAUCGUCUACACGUGGCACUGGUAGUACUAUUAAAUUACCUUGGUUACGUCGGUGUUCCCGCGUGAGAAUUGAUUAAUUAAUUAGGAGAAGAGAUCAGACAGGAACAAGUGAAAUUUUUAUAUCAGGGCAGGAAAAGUGCAGCUUUGGAUUAGGCAUCCAUCCGCACUAGGUGUUGGGCACGUAGGUGAGUACUCUUGUUUAACCCAGCGAUAUCUUUGGCGGCAUAUGCAUAAAUCUAUCUACUUUUUUUUAAGAAAGAACCAUGGGGACAAGAAUUGAACUGCUAUUUACACGGCUGACUUGAUUUUCACUCAAAUGGUGUAGCAAAUAAAACUUGUAUUUACGACCUCCGACCCAAAUCUUUACAUUAUUCUCAAUUUCAUAUGUACAUCACAAAAAUUACCGUUUGGACAAAGUCACGUGUGUGUGUGUUAUAAGGACCAUAUCAGUCUCCAAAAUACCGCUCCAGUUUGUUUUUCUAGACCCGGCAGCAGCGACGCUUCACGCCUCAUCCUUUUUGGGACGUUGUCGUGGAUCCUAGAUGUCUUCGGUCGAACCUCGACAAGAUGUUAGGCUUGUUCUCGUUUCACGUUCAUCCUUUGAUGUACUUUGUAAGUGAGCCUCCCCAUCAUGUUGUACCGUUCGGCCGAAUACUUUGUUGUGUUGUUGUUGUAUAUAUGAAUCGGUGCAAAAACUUGUUUCGAGAGUAGCUUAUAUGUAAACCUGUUUCUUGCCUUCUGAAAAAAAGAAUAAAAAAAGAACAAACCCGCAAAAAAAAGGAGAAAAAAAGAAUAAAAUCGCUGCGCCGCAGCUUGCCUUGUGAGCUCUUUUUUCUCCUCGAGAAGGCCAAAGGCCACACAUCGUCCGUGCGCGAUUCCGUUGUGCGGUUGCGGCCGGUCGUGGAAUCGUACGUGCAUGGCGAAAACCAGCGGCGAUGGCCGGCGUCCGUCCGUUGUUGCAGGAUGGAUCCCUCUCCCUUUCCGCUCCGGCCGGCCGGCACCUUUGCCUUUGCACCUUCUUUCUUUUCCUUUUUUUGUUGCUCUUCGUAUCAUAAUACGUGUGUGAAACAAACUAACGAGGACGGCCGUCCGUCCAUGGCGGGCAGAGACCAGCUGCAUUGCAUGGAUGGAUUCGGACGGCGACGACGGGAUCGGAUCCACGACGUACGCCGACCGGCCGCCUCCAGAAGACAGACCCUCCAUCGCUUAUAGAUAGGCCAUUAAUAGACGGACCCUCCUUGAACGAAGAUAAACACCGGACCAAGUCUAGACGUGUGCCAGCGAGUAUACGACGGUGCAUGGCGACCGUUGACUCACUCACUCACCCUUUCAAGGCAGCCAAGAGAAAAUCCAUUCAGUUCGGGUCUCCGUCGGUCGUCGAAGGAUCCACCAGAAGUCUAUGUCGGCCGGAUCCCCAAGGGCCUCCUGUAGACACAACUCCACAAGCCCCCCGCCGAUGAAAAAACACACCGAUGGAAUGUGGAUUGUGGAUUGGGCAGAGAGAAUAUUAUUCCUCCUAUGGGACUACGCCACCGCUUCACAUCCCCAAACUAACACGAAGACUCUUUAAAGAGAAACUGAAAAAAAUUACCCAUACUGUUGUAUGACAGGUCUGGGGCUCCGACGACGAGCUCACCGCCAUCUAAAACUAUGCACCGACGCCCACUUCUCGAUCUAGCUAGGCCGGACCACCGAUGAAGAACUCUGUGCUGGAUCCUUCGGCCGCCGCCGCCACGCACCGCAUGACGAAGGACAUCCCUCGGGCACACAUGUCCUCAGGCUUUGCUCGGCGACGCGCCCUUACGGCAGCGAGAGGGUUUGAUGAAGGGUUGGCGGCUAAGUUACAUGGCCGUCUACGUCCUCGCCUCUUCGAAGAAAAACAAUUCGUGCAACUGAUAAGGUGCAUGUUCUAUUUCCCUUUCUCCGUUGUUGUUGCACUUUUCCCUUUAAUAUUUGUGUGUGAAAAGAACCAUGUAUUGUUUUCCCUCAAAAAGUAAAAAGAAGAAUAAACAUGGGCGGGUGGUGCAUGGGCGGAUUUGGACUGUGACGACGGGCGGACUGGACCGUCGAUGUAUGCCGUCCGCCUGGCUACAACACUAAGGGUAAAGUUUUUGGUUUGCCUUGAAGUUGAAUUGAAUUCAUCCUUUUCCCGUUUUCUUGUUUUUAUUUUAGAACUAGUAAUGACAAAGUAUACUAGCCCGGUGCAAAAACAACAUAUAAUAAUGCUGAAAGUACCACCACUCCAUCCGUUCAUUAACUUAUGGUGUAAACCGAAUUUCGUCAACAACGUUUGACCAGAAUUGUUUUUUUUUUGCAAGUACCAAUUGCGCUUUCAAUAUAGGAUUUAUAUGCUACAAAAGCAUGUCUAUUCGUACAUAAACUGCACAUUGAUGGGGUAACUGUUGAUCAAAUCCAUAUAUUUGCUACCCUAAAUAUGACGAGAAGAAAGGCGCGAAUACUUUCGCAUGUUUUUAAAUUACAAAGGUUGUUGUCGUGAACAUUGGCAUAAUUUGUCGAGUAUAACUUUGGCACUAAUCAACAGAUUCUAAUUGUACAGUUUUAUUCUUAUAGGAUUUAUUUUAUCAUGCUAGCUCUUUAAAUCGACGGCACACAUUUCACAAUCCAUAAAAAAGGGAAAAAUGCAUGAUCCUAUAUUUCUUUGUUGUGUCAGUCGUUUUCUAUUUUUGUGUUGAUCUUUUGUGUCAGUUGGUUGUAUCUGUUCUUCGCGGACAGGUGGCAGUACUAUUAAAUCGCCUUGAUUGUGCCGACUGUUCCCAUGUGAGAAUUAAUUAGAUUAGACAGGAACAAGUGAGAUCUUGAGAGCAGACAGGAACAAGUGAUGUUUAUAUAUCAGGGAAAAAAGGGGUGCAACUUUGGAUUAGGCAUCCAUCUGCGCUAGGUGUCGAGCACGUACGUAAGUACGUACUCUUGUUUAAUCCAGCAAUAUUUUUUGCACCAUAUAUACAAAUCUACCUCUUCUUCGGCAGUAACCAUCAGACAAAUACGCACUUGUUCUCUACGCGGCUAAAUCAGAUUUUACUACAUGUAUGUCACAAGUAAUGGUUUGGAGAUAUUUUCAGUCAAUUAAAAAACCUUGAAAAGAUUGAAAUUUUAGAAACCAUAUGCACGGGAUUUAUGGAAUCUUGUAGUUUCUCUUACUUUCUAUACAAAUAUUAAAAAACGAAUUACUGGUGUACAUCUUGAAGACUGGUCAAUGUUCAAAUAGCAGUACAGGGAGUAUAGUUUAUAAAUUGUGAUGCUAAUUUGUACUACUCCACCCAGCACAUGAAAAGUGAUGCUCCCACUUUUGAGUGCGGCAUUUUAAAGACUGGUCCCUGGUGUGCCUGGAAUUCAGAAAUAAUAAUAAUAAACUCUAUAUAGAAGUUUUUAAAAAGUUUUUUUCCUGUAAAUACAAAUGCAUUUUCUCUAUAUACCUGCAAAGUUGGACCGAAGUUGAAGCACUUAUUUUGAGACGAAGGGAGUAUAACGAUUUGUAUGGAUUUAUUUCAGGAUUUCGGCGAUGCGAUUUCAGUGGGAAGAGACGUUCCUGUCGACGACGAGACGCCUAGGCUGACUUCGUAAAUCUCAAGAUGAUAUGCCGGCUCAAUCUCUCGAAGGUGCUCAUAGGGAUAUGGUGUGCGUGUGUGCGUUCAUGGGGUGAGAGCAACUCUAGCAGACCCCGCAUCCCGCCGGCCCACAAAACGCGUUUGCAGUUCACGCAAAACCGCUUUUGCGGGCCGGCACGGGCUGGCACAGAUGCAGACCCCCCAAACGGAUCCGUAAAAAAGUAUAUUCGCGGAAUAUGCUUUUCUACGGGUCGGCUUCUGCGGGUUCUGCUCGGGCACCACCGCGACGACCCGCAAACAGAGAAACUGCAAAUCUCACAUUUGACAUAGGGUUUCACAAACAAGUUCAAAUUCAAACGACAUAAACAGUUUUACGCGCAAAUAAAAGCCAAGAUCAUUACGGCAAACGCAAAAGAGGGCCCUGCAAAGGUUUGCGCGCAUGUCCGCAUCAUCUUGGGGGUCGAUCUUCACUCCGCGCCAUUGAGUCCAUCUUGAAGUUUAUCGGCGCUACCGAAUCCACCCCCGUCGCUUGUUCCAACUCCCGCACCGAAAUCAUCUACAUUGCCACCAUAUGGAGCAGAGAAAAUAUCACCGGAGCUGUAACACGGACCGGCCGAGGCGACCAUUCUAAAAAGCUUGAUCUUUCAAGAUCGUGUAGUUCUUCGAUCUUUGGCUUUCCCCAGUUUUUGCUUGCGAUUGCUCAUACGCUUCCGCUUCGAUCUCCUCCAAUUCGUCCGCACAACCAUGAUCAUCCACGCCGCCCUCCAUUUCAUUGUAGUCGAAUGGUUCGAAAGGGGCUUGAUUAAUGUCAACCGCGUUCGUGUCCAACAAGUUCACGAACUCGGUUGUUGCAUUGUUCGAACCACCGCUAUAGCGAACGAUAACAAGUCACGAGCUAUCGAGAAUAUUGACGAAAAAUGAAAGGGAAUCGCCAAGACCGAAGACGCAUACCUUCCGGCCAUUUCGUCGAACACCUCGCUCGCGGGGGGAGCGGCACCGUUGAACGGCAUCGCCGAGCACCUCCUUGCGGGGGGAUGGAGUGAGAGGUUGAAGAAGGUGGCUUCCUUGAAGCCGGAACCUUCCUCCGCUUUACGCCCGCGGCCUUGCCGACCUUCUCCGCCGCCGGCCGGGAUCGCGUUGCCGCGUUGGCGCCCGGAGCGCGGGCCAUCGCAGCGGGGCAGCCGGAUUCCCGCCCUGCACGACCACGUUGCCCUGCCGCUUACGGGAAGGCGUGGCGUGUGCUUGGGCGACGGAGGCGGGGCCAACAUGGCCGGCGACGAGAUCCGCCCGAGGGAAAGGAGCCUGCACGACCUCGACGGUGACGGGGGACGGCAUGGGGUCGUCCAUGGUGGCGAGGAACGGCCGGGGAGAGGAAUCGGAGCUUGCGGAGGGGGGGCAAUGGUGGCGGAGGGUGCGGGGAGCGGGAAAGGGCGCGCGGAAAUGUCCCUCCCGCCAAAUCAUGCGCCGGAUAGGGGUUGAGCUCGGGUCGGCCUCCCAGCCCGUGAAGAUAGAGGUUGGGGGAGAAGAUUUGCCGCGCCCUGCAAAUAUAUUUGCGGGCCGGGGCGGGAUGCGAAGUCUGAUCGUGCAGAUUUUUCGGCCCCGACCCGCAAUUUGGCGGUUAUUUUGCGGGCCGGGGCGGGAUGCGGGGUCUGCUAGAGUUGCUCUGAGUGUGCACGUAUCAUUGAACGCUUGCGUUUGUACUGUGUUAAGAAAAAGGAAAAAAAAUGCAGGCACAAAUACGACAAAAUAACAUUUCGAUCCACAUGUUCGUUCUUUUUAUGCACAGUGCACAUGAAAUAUUUGUCGACGAAAUCUCUUAUACACGAGCCACACAUAUGUAUGUCUAUGUGUAUGCAAAUCGUCCUCCUCCAGAAUUUUUGUACUAGGUGUAGAAAGAAUGUUUUGGAUUGGAGAAACGAAAAAGGCUACUUCUCCAAACGCGCUUCAUCGUGCUCUGGACAUGCUAAAGGUGGCGAGUGCGCGGGAAUAAAUGACAAUGAGGCGGCCGCGGUGCACGCGAUUCCGUUGUGCGAUUGCGGCCUGCAAAGCUCGCCGUGUGUGCGUGCGUGCACGGCAAAACCAGCAAUGGCGGGCGUCCGUCCGUUCUUGUAGAACACAUCCAUUUCCCUUUCCGACCCCUUUGCUUUCGCAAGUUUCUUUUCAAGAAAAUAAAAAAUUUAUCUUCAUGUGUGAAGAACAAACGUGGAUGACCGUCCAUGCAUGACGAGUAAGACAUAUGCAUGUGCAAUUGUGCAUGGAUGCAUUCGAACGGCCAGGAGCAAUGUCGUGGCUUUUAGGCAAUGACUCCCCUCCGCCAGCGACGCCGUUGCCGGCCCCGUCAUCCCCUUUCUCCGGCUGGGUCGUCGGGCACAAUUGCACAUGCAAGCAAGCUCUUUAAAUCAAUGUCACACAUUUCACAAUCAAUAAAAAGAAAAGAAAAUGCGCGAUCCUUUCUUUCUCGUGUCAAUCGUUUUCGAUUCUAGUAUAUUGUGCUGUCUUUUCUGUUUGUGUCAGUGGAUGUGUCCGUUCUUUGUCGACACGUGGCAGGGCGCACUAUUAGAAUUUCAUUGGUCAUGCCGGUGCUCCCAUGUCCAUGCAUGUGCGUUUCUUGGAUCUUCCAUCCUCCCAUCGAGUUCUCUCUGAUAAUAAACGUACAAGAGCGCGUAACGUAGGUUCUUUCCCGGCGGGAUGGAGGGAAAGAAUCUUGAUCAAGUGACUGACUGACAUAGUACAAGAGCGCGUAAGGUAGAUUAUGCUAUCUCUCGGCCGCCAUUGCUGCCCCGCCACCGCGAGCUCCGGCCCAUCUUUCCCGCCCUUCUUCGCCGCCAUGAAAGCCUCCCAGCCGGCCCCCGUUACCGUGGAGGUCGCACACGCGCAAUCCCCUCCGGUGGAUCUCGUCGCCGGCCAUGUCGCCCCCGCCGUUGCCCAAGGCCCCAACGCGCCUGCCCGCAAGCGGCAGGGCAACGUUGUCGUGCAGGCGGCAAUCCGGCUGGCCCCGCCGGAAAGCCACGCGCACCGGGUCCCGCCGCCGCCGCGCAAUCUGCCCGGUCGCCGGCGGAGAAGGUGAGCAAGGUUUCGGGCGUGAAGCGGAAGAAGGCUCCCAUGAAAAGGCAGGCGCAUUCGUCCAGUCCCUCUGCUCCGGCGAGAUGUUCCCCGACGAUGCCGUUCAACGGCGCUGCUCCCACCGCAGGCGAGGUGUUCGAUGAAAUGGACGGAAGGUAUGCAUCUUCAAUCGUUUGUUCUUGCUUCGCUUUUCGCCAUUGUGGUUGUUCAUGACUUGAUGUCACUAAAUGUAGUGGUGGUUCGAAAAAUGCCACUGCCGAGUUCGUGAACUUGUUGGACACCAACGCCGUCGACAUCGAUCAAGCCCCGUUCGCUGAUUUCGAUUACAAUGAAAUGGAGGGUGGCGUGGAUGAUCACGGUGGUGAAGAUGAAGUGGAGGAGAUGAUGGCCCAAGAAACUUGAACAAGCCUGAUGGUGACAAGAAGACAAAGGAGAAGAUCAAGAGGGAACACGAAGCAUCGAGCUUGCGGGACAAGAUAGAUGUCAUGGUGCAAUACCGAAAAAGGGUUUCCCCCCGCUUUGUAUACAAAGCAACCGUCAUGGUGCAAUCAAAUGAGUUGAUGUUAGUGAAGACAUUGGAGGCAAAGAAAGUGUUGGCCGAGAAGAAGGCACGAGAGAAGCAAGAGAAGUAGCAAUUGCUCAAGGACGAGGGGUUGCGCAAGGCGGUCAUUGAGGAGAGAAGAGCACGUGCCGCUGAGAACAAAGCCAUGUCCAAGCUUCUUGCCGAAGAGAAUAGGAUCAUGACAAUGAACCGCAAUGACAUGGACGACAUCACCAAAGAAUAGCAUGAUAUGGCAAGGAGAGACAUCUUGAAGAGGAGGAUGGUUGCGUCGGCCGGUGCUUGUUACAGUGCCGACGAUGUUUUCUCAUCGGGAUUUGGAACCAGUAUCGCCGACGCAUACUGUGCGCUGGCCGGUGAUUUCGGUGCCGGAGUUGGAACAAGUGCCGGCGAUGGAUUCGGGGGCGGCCAUGACCUCGAUGGAGGUGGUGCGGAGUGAAGAGCGACCAAGAUGAUGACGGGCGUGGUCGUCGUUUUUGCAAGUCCUUUUGCGUUUGUCCUACAAAACUAUGCUUUUAUUUGCGCGCGAACUAUGUUUUAUUGUUUGAAUUUGAAUUCAUUUGUUGGAAUCGCUGUCAAAUUCGCUUAUUGGGGGUUUUCGGUUUGCGGGUUGACACGGCGGUGCCCGAGCAGACCCCGUAUAGCCGACCCGUAACAAAGCAUCUUCCGCGUAUAUCCUUGUCUGACUCUGCCCUCGCCCUCGCCGGCCCGCAAAGAUGUUUUUCCGUAAACUGUUAACGCGUUUUGCGGGUCGGCGUUAUACGGUGUCUGCUAGAGAUGUUCUUACUCCCUUUCGUUCCCUAAUGUAAAAAACAUUACUAGUGUUAGAAAAGUCUUGCAUUAUGAGACGGAGGAGUAUGUUGUAAACUUGCAAUGAUGAUGUUUUGAUUUGGACAGGCCGCGGCCCGAGCCUCCCCGGCUUGACACGCGUACGCGGUAUGUCGCUGGGUGGUCGGAUGCCGACCAAGUGAUGCCGACAGACACGACACGGUCGAUCGUUUUAAUUAGCGAGACAAGACUAACGUGUAUACUGCAUCUGCUAGCUUGGGACGGCGACGACGUACGUGAGCGUUGGGUCGAAGCCUGCCGGCACCGCCGACGUUACGCACGCCAACUCUCCUUCAAAGAAAGAAAACAGGUGGCGGGCACUGUCGGCAAGUCCAGUCAAAGUCUAUAGAUGCAAGCGACGGUGGCAACCGACCGUUUCAAGGUGCUUCGCGUAGGGGUGAACUUUGCAGGGCACUGACCGCGUCCAUGCAUGCGUGCGUCUGUCUCUUUCCAUUCACAACAAACUUUUUUUUUGUGCAUUCACAACAAACAUUCAUAAAACUGUUCUAUCACGUAGUAACACUCCAUAAUGCAUUCACAUAUGCUCAAUUAACCCAGACCCAACAUGUACAACAAAGUUCCCGAUUCUAAAAGGUUGAAUAAGCGCCCCGAGUAGUAAACUCGUAUUUUUCAUGUCGUCUCUUCUUUUUCGAACCGAGUCUAUGAUAUCUUUUUGAUCAUGUGUGUCUUAAUUCUAUCUUGGUCAAAAUUCUGUAAUUAAGGCAUAAAUAUAAGAAGAUUUGUAAAUUGCCGAUCCCGCCUGCCGCCGGAUAUUAAGGUAUAAAUAUGAAUACACAUAAAUUGGGUGAACCUAAUUUGGAAUGAUUAUGCCUUACCAUUGUAGAUGCCGUGCUAUGUGAUAUUGAGGGAGGGGGUACUGCACAACCAACAAGCAGUGCGUUGUUGCGAUCGUCCCAUCCAGGCGAGGCUUCCAACCAGGCUCACACCCCUUUCCAUUAAUUUCUUAACGGAAAUAUAUCAAUACAAGUAGUUCAUCCCAAGUAAUGGAUCUGGAAAAAGAAAUCGAAGGGGGCGGGAAAGGGAGGGGCGAGUUGGAGCAAUAGAUGGAAACCAACCACUGUGGAUGCUCAAACUCGAGGUAUCCACCACGGGGUGAAACCUGCUAACACUACAUAUCUCGACAGUGUACCAAUACCCAAAAGUCUCAAAAGCCACUAGGCAUUACAGACUACACACACAUGUAUGUGUAUGUUUAUCUUUUUUGUAGAAUAUAUAUUUGUAGGUGCAAAAACAAAUUUUUUACAUUGAAGAAACUGAAAAGACUACCUAGAGCCCGGUCUCCAGACGCACUUGAUCGUGCUAUGGGCAUGCUAAAGGUAGCGAGUGCGCCGGAAUAAAUACGCACGAUCGCAGCCUGCAAAGCUCGCCAUGCGUGCGUGCAUGGCAAAACCAGCAAUGGCCGGCGCCUGUACGUGUAGAACAAACCGACAAAAGUGCAUGGAUGGAUGUUGAUGGCGACGACCUACCCCGGCCUGGCCAUCUCCAAAAGACAGAGUGUUGGAUAAAAUUAGGACAUGCGAGCAGGGCCGGUCCUAGGCAAGGGCAGUAAGGGGUGAUGAUGGCCCUGGGCCCGGCCAAACAAGGGCCCUGACCCAGGGGUGCCCCUAUGUCUCGCUUGACGCGAGACGAAGCGAGCUCCGAGCGCCCCAUAUCCUAUUAGGCGUGUUAAGCGUCAGUUACAGGCAAUUGUGCUAACUGGCGCACACCCCCUCCCGGCACUACGUGAAAAAUGGGCUGGCCAUAUAGGUUUUUCCCCACAGUUUUUAUUCCGCGAGGUUUUUCUAGGAGUUUUUUCCCUGUGGUUUUUGCUGGCAUGGGUUUUACUCGGUUUUCCUUUUCCUUUUUUGUUUUCUUUUUAUUUUUCUUUCUUUUUCCAAUGGGUGAAUUCUUUUCGAAAAAGCUUUUUGCACGUUUAUGAGAUUUUAAAAUUUUCCAAAAUUUUCAAAUUCGUAAAAUUAUCAAUUUUCUAUAAAAUUUCCCCAAAUUAUGAAAAUUGUUCAAGUCAUGAAGUUUCUUCAAAUUCGUGAUUUUUCAAAAACUAUUUUUUCUAUAGUUUCGUUAUCUUUUUUUUAAUUUCGUGAUUUUCUUUCAAAUUACAAUCUUUUUAAAACCUCUUUGUGAACACUGUUUCCAAAUUACUGGCUUUUAAAAAAAUUGAAAAAUUUCCAAGUCUUCAAUUGUUUUCAAUUUUCUUAUUUUUUAAAUUUCAAACUUUAUUUUAAUUUUUUGUGAACAGUUUUUGUCUGAAAAGUCAACGGUCAACUCUCCUUGGCAGUUGUGUGCAUUCGAAUUUUUCUGUUUGAUUCGGUUAAGUUUAUACGAUUUUUAUACUUCGGUUUAUAUGGUAUUAGUAUUAUACAUAGAUAUAGUUCGGUUUUGGUAAUAACCAUUUACUUUUGUUUGGUUUCGUAAAUAACCAAAUUAACCAAAGUUGAUGUGAAUUUUUGAGCUCAUAAUUUUUCACGUGUAAAUACAUGAUAUAUAUAAUAAUGAUAAAAAACAAUUAAAAAAUGAUAAAGAAGAGACAAUCGAUGGGCGCUGGUCCACUAGGUAAACAAUUUAAAAAAUUCAGAUGGGCUGGCCCAUAUACUCGCGUGCGUCAGCGCCCGUUCCUUUAACUGGCGCCCAAGGUGACAUUUAGGAGGUGUCUGGGAGCGCUCGCAUCAGGCGUUGCGACCGGGCCGACCCAGGUAAGUUGCAGGUUAAUUCAUCCUUUUCUCUGUUUUUCACUAUUUUAUUUUUACAUUUAUUAUUAUUUUAGAAAAACUUGUAAAUACAUAUAUUUCGAAACAUAAAACUAAUUAAAAAAUAGCUAAAAUUUUUACUUUAUAAAAGUGAAAAGGCAAUGUAAAACAUUGUUAGCUUAAUUCAAAAAACGUUGAUAGCAUAAUAAAAUAGUUUGUGACAUUUUAAAAUGUUUAGAAGUUUUAUAAAAAUGUAUGUAACACUAUAAAAAUGUUAAUAAAUAUUUCAGUUGUAUAUAUAUAAAGUCAGUUGUAUAUGAAAAAUAUACGGUGUUUAUGAAAAAAAGUAGACAUCAAAUUAAUCGAGUACAAAAAUGUUCUUGAUGUAUAUAAGAAUGUAGAAAUCAAAAGUGAUUAUUAAAAAAUGUUGAAAUAAAAAAUGAUUAUUAAAAACAAUGUUAAUUCUGUAUUUUAAAAUUUCAUAACAUGUAUAAAAAUGUUAUUGAUGGUGUAUAUGAAAAAUUUACAUUGCAUGUGUACAAAAUAUGUAUUCCCAUUUAAUAAUGUUCACCAUUUAUUUGAAAAGACUCCAGUGCAAAUCUAAUGUCGGAUUUUUUUUACCAUGGCAAAUCGACCAUUUUUUAGGGCAAAUUAUGCUCUCCGAGGAUGGCAAGUUUAGUCGACGAGCAUGAAUAAUCCACUUUGGUUUACUUUUUUGUCAGAAAAUUGUCGCGCUUGCAAACUAAAUUUGCCAUCAUCGCGCAAAUAUAAAAUGCCAUGAAAAACAUCAUUAUUUUUCAUGCCUAAAAAUUGGACUUCAAUUUUUGUGUGUUUCCGUUGAAAAAAUAUUUACCAUAUAGUAAUAGAAGUGUUCAACAAUGUAUUAAGAAAAAAUGUUCUAAAAAGUUUCCUCUCGUUUUCCUCCCUAACCCUAGGUAGCUAAGGCAAACUCUCCGCUCUAGACUUCACCGGGGAGCGCGGGGAGGGGAAUCCCGUGCCUUCUCUCCGGUUAUUAGUUUAGGCUUUAGUCAUUGCAGGUGCGGCGCUCAGACGGAUGUCGACGCUACUUUUUCGAGUUUGUCUUUCGGACUCUGAUCGUCCUCGAGUUCAUUUGUUUGGACGUAGUCGACGGAGCUCCAAUGUAGACUCUCCUGCCAUCUCCUUAGGGCGAUGAGGUUAUGGUUUCUCGUCAUGUGGCGAGAUUUGGUGUGGAGUGCUUAAGAUCUAUGUAAGGGUUCAACGUCGACGACUGCGGCUCCAGGGCGCUGGUCCUUAGGGGUACGUGCACGAAAACUUCUCGACUAUCAUCGGCAAGGUAAAGCCAGGUCCAGUAGAGGAGCGGCGACAACGACGUGUCGGUGGCAUAUUCUGGUGGUGGUAGUGGUCGUUCAUUGGUCUAGGAAUCUCGAUGUAAUUCUUUAUUAUCUUUGAGAUGCUUUGUACUUCCGCUGAAUUUUUGUAAUAGAUUUGAUUUUUUUCACAGAAAACAAAACAAAAUAUUCCGUGUGGACUCUAAAAAUAUACAUUGUGCAUUGAAAAAAAUAGGUAUGUGUUGAACAGAGAAAAAAUCGAUGAAAAAUGACAAAAGAAUAAAGGAAACCAAUAAAAACUGAAAAAGGAACAAAAAAGACGAUGAAAACCAAUGGAAAAGAACGAAAACAAUGAAAACGGAGAAAUAUUUUGUUGGUUUAGUAGAAGAUGCCAAAUUUUGGUAGUUCGGUGACAUAUAUGAUGAACUCCUAUAUGCUAUGUGUGUGAUCCAGAUGAACUACAUGUGUUAAUUUUAACGUUGCACAACAGUGUAUAGAUCUAAAGAUUUGCUUAUUAGUUACACGGAGGUGAACAAAUGAACGGUAAUUGCACCCGGCGAACGUUCGUUGUAAGGAAGGUGGCAAGCGAACCAUCUUUGUUGGCAGUUUUAGUUGUAAAACAAGAUAAACGACAGCAGUUUUUAAACGAAAAUUGCCUUCUCGGGAAGAAAAUGUGUCAUGUCUUCCUCCCCACUUGGUCACAACUAAAACUGCCAUUGAAUCGUUCGUAUGUGCCAUUGCCAGGUCCUCUGGCGAACGUUCGCCAGUUAGGAGGGUCCCAAAUGAAAAGUUCAGCUCUUAAUUUGCAGUCGAGAUCGCCGAGAAGUACAUGUGCCAUGACCCUGGCGGCACGGCGAUGUCUCCUUCGUCGGAACCUACGUACACAUGGCCAAGAAAUCACAGAUGUCACGACCUUAAUUUCGUUUGUGACAAGUCAGUCCCGUCAGCUGAAGAAAACGCACCCACGACCUUAAAUGGAAUCGAUGGAUAUGAGCAGUUCAGAAAUAGAGAGGGGGCAUGCGUUGUUGGACGGAAGGAACGCCGCUCCCCGGCCUCCCAUUCCCAGGUUGGAUGCAUGCAUCUGCAUAUGCAUAGGCCUAAUCCGUCUCCGAGUUUUAACGACUCCCCGGCGUUUCCGCCACUCGCGUAAAGCAACGUAACGUCGACGACGACGACGACGAUCCAUCUUCUUCUCCCCCGGACCGGGACCCAUCUUCUUCCUAGCUCCUCGAUCUCAUCGAUCCAUGGAGCGCCUGCUUGGGCUGCUCAAGGUGAAGGUGGUGCGCGGGCUGAACCUGGCCAUCUGCGACCCCCUCUCCCACAGCAGCGACCCCUACGUCGUCAUCCGCCUCGGACAGCAGGUUCCUACUUCUUCUCGUCCAGCCUCGAGAUCAAUCGAUCGAUCGAUCAUCAAGUAGGAGUAAUAACAAUGGGCCGAGUGCAUGCUACAUCUAAAAUUCAUGCAUGCUUCAUUCUUCAAUUUCACCCGACGGCUAGCACCAAGCAGAUGAUCGAUUCUGAUCUGCUUGGUGCUAGCUAUCCGAGGAGGAUGAAACAAGCAGAUGAUCUAUUCAGAUCUGCUUGUUUGUUUCUUCAAUUUCAUUCAUGUGUAAUCGAUUCAGAUCAACAAUUAAAACCCCUCUCUCUCUCUCUCUCUCUCUCUCUCUCUCUCUCUCUCUCUCUCUCUCUCUCUCUCUCUUUUUACCCGGCAUUUAUUUUCUUUUCAUGUAAAUGUGCAGAAAGUGAAGUCGAGCAUCAAAUAUAAAACCAUCAACCCAGAAUGGAACGAGGAGCUCACCCUGUCUAUCACAAACUGGACGCUCCCCGUCAAGAUUGUAAGUUUGAUCAACAUCUCCCUCCCAAUCAGGAUUUCACAAACUCACCGCCAAUAUACUCUACUCCGAUGAUAGAACAUUUCAUAUCUCUUAGCUCCUCAAACCAACCUUUGGGAUCUUAUUCUGUCACAGGAAGUCUUUGACCACGACACUUUCACCAAGGAUGACACCAUGGGCGAUGCAGAGUUCAGCAUCCUCGACUUUGUCGAGAUCGCCGUCAAGGACCUGACCCAUGUCCGUGAUGACACGGUGAUGAAGACGUUCCAACCUAACGAGGAGAACUGCUACUCGGCCGACAGCCACAUCAUGUGGAAAGACGGGAAGGUCACUCAGAAUAUGGCCCUCAAGCUAAGGAACACCGACACUGGCGAGCUCAUCAUGCACCUGGAGUGGGUUAACCUCCCCCCAGGCAUGUCGCGGUGAUUUGAUUUGAUUUGCAAAGGGAGGCCAGCUAUUGCCUUCCUUUUGUGAUCGUAAUGUUGCUUCCUCUAUAUAUGAGCUAUGAGAAUAAUUAAGCGAUGUCUAUCCCAUUCUUUACAUAACACCCACUGUAAUGAUUUGUGGAUCUCACACCAGGAUGGUGCGUCUAUAAUAUGAGCAACGUCUUGGUGAGACCCACACAUCAUCACAGUGGGUGCUACGUAAGGCAUGUGAUAGACUUAUGCUACUGGGGGUAAUGCUUGCUUUCAGUUUUGGUUCUGCAUAUGUUGUAUGGCUAUUUUAAUUAAAAAAAGGUAUAUUUUGUCCUAAGAUACUUGUAUAUAUAGUCUCUCCAUGUUAAUUUGCUAUAUCGAUCAUAUUAAUUUUGACCUUACUGAGUAUACAAGUCAUGUCAGAUUUUGCUCAGAACAUCUCCCUGAACCUUGAUAUGUAUAUGACGAGACUGGUACGUUACCGCUAACAGAAUAUUACUCUAUUGACGUUUUCUUUUUUCCCGAGAAUGAAAGAAAGGCUCCCACGCGAUUAGGGUUUCCUCGCCGGCACCGCCGCCGAUCUACCUCGUCUCAUGUGGCCUUAGUGCCAUGGAGGCAUGAUGGAUCUCGACCCUUGAUGGCGGGAGGACCCACACUUCAUUUUUAGUCAUUUUAUCGCACACCAUUCAGUGAGCAUUGUUUUAUGUGCAUUGGGUUUCUUAAUUACUUUUUCCAAUCGAGAAUAUUGGUGAAAUAUGACCCUAUUCAUAUCAGGGAGAUGGACAACUAAGAGCAUCUCUAGCUGUUGGAGCCCCCAAGAACACCACCGAACCAAAAAAGUUGGUGUCUUAGGGGGCAAAUGCUCCAUCCGGCCGAAAUAGGAGUGCAUGGGGAGGGCAUCAUCCCAGCCACACCCCACCCCAACCAAAAGUUUGUGAGGGAAAAGAUUAAGUGGGCAAGACAAAGGACAUGUGGGGAGACACGAUUCGCCGAAAAUCCCGCUGGCGCCCCCAAGAGCCCCCCAACGCAUUGGGUUUCGCCUGGGUUUUCCGGCGCUAUUUUGACGUCGGGGGGGGGGGGGGGGGCGCUGGGGGCGUGGCUAAGCCGUUUUUCGGCAAAAAAAUGUCACCGAGCCUAAAAAGGUGUCCUGGGGGUGGAGAUGCUCUAAUAUUUCAACCGAACGUUUCCUACCACGUAUAUCAAAGGCAAACAUGUGCCAAUAUGCUUUGCAAGCACACAAGUACCUGAAAUAAAAGGAAAUCAUACAGAUCAAUAGGGAAAUGGUUUUAAAAUCCAUAUAUGAGAUAGAAGAAAAUACAAAUAAGCAAAGAAAAUUACCUAUACUUGAUAAAUUCCAAUAUCUCAUUUCUACCAGUUGGAACACCUAACACCUAGGGCAACAAACGAUGGAGGCCCGAACACAGGUCAAAAUCUUACGCAAGCAAAAUCAUGGCCUUUAAUAAGAUAGUCGAAUAGGUACUUCAACAAAUUCGUCUUGUAUACAGGCCUAGACCUCUUCAGCAAGCCCAAAUGAUGUGGUACAACCCAACGAUUAUCAAGCUUGACCCUACCUUUUCUCUUAGUACAUAAUGUCCCGAUAAGCAGUAAAAAUAUUUUCAUCAAUUAUUAUUUCUUCGUUGUCGGAGCUAAACCCAGCAGAUCCCAUGGCAGGGUGCCCUAGCGUAGCUAUUAGGUCGAAGGGAAAAUAAGGAGCAAUAUUUACCUAGUUCGGGCCAUCGCGAUUGAGAUAAUACCCUACUCAUAUUCGUGCAUAUUGUGAUUGGGGUGUGUACAAAGUACAGAUGAAUACUAAGGGAUUGUAUGUUAUCACAUCAACGAGCUCCGCCACGAGCUUAUAUAACAUACCGGGGGUCCUAGGGGUACAAAUCCUAGCUGUUGCAUCGAUGGAGGUAGAUUCCUCCACGGCUUCGGUAUGUUCGGCUUGUACAACAAAUCUUCUAGAGUCUUUCGUAUAAUCAUCAUGGGUCGCACAACAUGGCCCAGGAUGAAACCAACCAAGGGGUCCUCAGCCCGACCCAACAGGGCAGGAAUCGUAGUGGUUCGAGGCCUACCCUAGGCUUGGACACCUCAUUCGUUAAAUUCAUUGAGAAAAAAAAUGCUGACUACGCCUUGUUUGAAUGCAUUCAUCUCUUUCCCGUCCGACUAACAACAAAAAUCAAUAGCAGGUCAACCUCUUUUUCUUCUUCACUUUUUCCUAAAUAAUGAUGUUUUGUAUUCUCUUCGUUCCAAAAUAAGUGACUCAACUUUGUACUAGUUUUAGUACAAAGUUAGUAUAAAGUUGAGUCACUUAUUUUAGGAAGGAGGAAGUAUUUCCAAAAAAUAUGAUGUUUUGUUUUCAUUUAUUCUGACAUUGAAUCUGUGUCGGAGACUAUGCUUUAUUGACAUACAUGGAUUUAAUUUUAUUUUGAGACAAAAGUACAUGUUUUGUAUUUUAUUUUAUUUCAUUGAGGAAAAUUUACAUUAUUUGAUUUAUUUUAUUUUAUUUAUUGAGGAAAAUUAACAUGCUGUUUUUUUUACCGAAAGGAAAAUUGACAUGCUUGGAUGGCCGAAUGCAGCCAAGGCCCGCACCGCUUAACUAGCCCUAACCUCUUAAGAAUGUUUCAUGGGCUUCCACUCACACAAAAUAAUCAAUGGGCUCUCUCUGGUCCCCGUGGUUAUGCUACUCGGGUUAGUACUUUCGCCUCCACAACAGACGCUUCACAACCUCCAAAAAAUACAAAAUUCUAACCUAGCAACAUUUCUCACAAAAAAUAUAUAUCUAACCGAGCAACUCUCUCUUCUCUGACCAAAUGAAAGACAUCUCAAAUAGAUCCAUUCUAAAAAGAACAUCGCAAAUACUCGACAAAUUCUUUAACACUGCCUCCACCCAGUUAUUAUUAUUAGUAUCACCAUCCAUAUCAUUUGUAUUCCAAAUGAAUGAUUAACUGUAUGUAGACUCAUUCCGGCAAAAUUUUGUAUGUAAAUACAUAACAGAGCCUACGAUGCGACCCAAAACUAUAUACGGGACAGGUCGCAUGUUCAUUAUUCCUUCCAUUCCAUGUAUCUAUAAUAUUAUCUCAGACAACCAUAACGCCUUUUUCUUUUCUCUCCUCCUGUCAGAGUGAGCGCACGCCGCGACGACCCCUCCCGGGACCAGGAGUGCGUUGCCCCGGGGCCAUCCAUCUCGGUGGAGAAACAAGAGUGCUUUGCACGCCGAAACGCCGUCAGAGUGCACGCGCCGAGGCCGGGGAAGAGAGCCUCAUCAAUGGUGGUGCUGCGAGAACGGCCACCAUCUCCUCUUCUUCGCCGUGUGAUGCAACCUCGGAGCAUCUGUUGGCAAAACCAUAGGACAGAGAGGGUUUCAGCGAUUACUGUUACCAGGCAGAGAUCGCGGUGUCGGUGUGGAAUGUUGGUUGCAUACGUUUGCGACGGGGACUGGACACGCAUUGCAUGUAUGCCAAUGGCAGGCAGGCAAGCAGGCCUGCAUAAUUUUCUCGAAGUGGCUGAGGCAAACAAGCAGAAUGGUUUAAUGUGUUGUCCAUGCCCUAUAUGUGGGAAUACGAAGUCUUACUCUGACCGGAAAAUUCUUCACACCCACCUGCUUUAGAAGGGUUUCAUGCCACACUAUAAUAUUUGGACCAGGCACGGAGAAAUAGGGGUUAUGAUGGAAGACAGCGAAGAAGAAGAGGACGAUGACAACUAUGUGCCCCCUGAAUACGGUGAUGCUGCAACGGGGGAAGCUGCUGAAGAUCAAGAGGAACCAGACGAUGUGCCCGAUGAUGAUGAUCUCCGCCGGGUCAUUGUCGAUGCAAGGACACAAUGCGAAAGUCAAAAGGAGAAGCUGAAGUUUGAUCGCAUGUUAGAGGAUCACAAAAAAGGGUUGUACCUCAAUUGCGAAGAUGGCAACACAAAGCUCGGUACCGUACUGGAAUUGCUGCAGUGGAAGGCAGAGAAUGCUGUGCCUGACAAAGGAUUUGAGAAGCUACUGAAAAUAUUGAAGAAGAAGCUUCCAAAGGAUAACGAGUUGCCCGAUAGUACGUACGCAGCAAAGAAGGUCGUAUGCCCUCUAGGAUUGGAGGUGCAGAAGAUACAUGCAUGCCCUAAUGACUGCAUCCUCUACCGCGGUGCGUACGAGGAUUUGAACGCAUGCCCGGUAUGCGGUGCAUUGCGGUAUAAGAUUAGACGAGAUGACCCUAGUGAUGUUGAUGGCGAGCCCCCCAGGAAGAGGGUUCCUGCGAAGGUGAUGUGGUAUGCUCCUAUAAUACCACGUUUGAAACGUCUGUUCAGAAACGAAGAGCAUGCCAAGUUGAUGCGAUGACAUAGAGAGGACCGUAAGAAAGACGGGAAGUUGAGAGCACCCGCUGACGGGUCGCAGUGGAGAAAAAUCGAGAGAAAGUACUGGGCUGGGUUUGCAGGUGACCCAAGGAACGUAUGGUUUGGUUUAAGCGCGGAUGGCAUUAAUCCUUUCGGGGAGCAGAGCAGCAAUCACAUCACCUGGCCGUGACUCUAUGUAUGUAUAACCUUCCUCCUUGGAUGUGCAUGAAGCGAAAGUUCAUUAUGACUACGCCUUGUUUGAAUGCAUCCAUCUCUUUCCCGUCCGACUCACUGCAAAAAUCAGUAGCAAGUCAACCUCUUUUUCUUCUUCUCUUUAUCCUAAAUAAUGAUGUUUUGUACUCUCUUCGUCUCAAAAUAAGUGUUGAGUCACUUAUUUUAGGAAGGAGGGAGUAUUUCCCAAAAAUAUGAUGUUUUGUUUUCAUUUGUUCUGACAUUGAAUCUGUGUCGGAGACUAUGCUUUAUUGACGUACAUGGAUUUUAUUUUAUUCUGAGACAAAAGUACAUGUGUUGUAUUUUAUUUUAUUCAUUGAGGGAAAUUUACAUAUGUUUUUCAAUGGAAGGAAAAUUUACAUUCUUUGAUUUAUUUUAUUUUAUUGAGGAAAAUUCACAUGCUGCUUUUAGCGAAAGGAAAAUUGACAUGCUUGGAUGGCCAAAUGCAGCCGAGACCCGCACCGUUUAACUAGCCCUAACCUCUUGAGAAUGUUGCAGUAAAAAAAAAACCUCUUGAGAAUGUUUCAUGGGCCUCCACUGAUGCAAAAUGAUCUUUUUUUUUUUGCGAAAGGACGCAAAAUGAUCAAUGGGCUCUCUCUGGUCUCCGUGGUUACUUCGUGCCACUCGGGUUAGUACUUCGGCCUCCACAACAUCGCUUCACAACCUCCAAAAAAAUGUUUUAACCAAGCAACUCUCUCUUCUCGAACCAAAUCAAAGACAUCUCAAAUAGACCCAUUCUAAAAAGAACAUGACAAAUACUCAACAGAUUCUUUAACACUGCAUUCACCCAGUUAUUAUUAUUAGUAUCACCAUCCAUAUCAUUUGUAUUCCAAAUGAAUGAUUAACUGUAUGUAGCCUCAUUCCGGCAAAAUUUUGUAUGUAAAUACAUAAACAGAGCCUGCAAUGCGACCCAAAACUAUAUACGGGACAGGUCGCAUGUUCAUUAUUCCUUCCAUUCCAUGUAUCUAUAAUAUUAUCUCAGACAACCAUAACGCCUUUUUCCUUUUCUCUCCUCCUCCUGUCAGAGCGAGCGCACGCCGCGACGACCCCUCCCGGGACCAGGAGUGCGUUGCCCCGGGGCCAUCCAUCUCGGUGGAGAAACAAGAGUGCUUUGCACGCCGGAACGCCGUCAGAGUACACGCGCCGAGGCGGGGGAAGAGAGCCUCAUCAAUGGUGGUGCUGCGAGAACG
rnacentral:lncRNA from 1 species